UUUUUUUUGGUGGAACUCCAAUUUCAAUCGAUUCCAAUUCCAAGAUCUAAUAUCAUCGCAUAGCCUAUACCAUGACAAUUAUUUCCCCUUCAAAUAUAAAGGGAAAAACUUUUUCAUAACUUCAUCUCCGGGUAAACCUGCAAGCUUAAAUUUGUUCUACAUAUAUCAAGUGCAUAUCAGGAUGUUCGGUUCCAUCUCCUGCAUAAGGAUUAUCUAGCAGUUGUUCUAUCAUACCUGAAGGAAUUUCAUAUUCAAUAUUUUCAGUUGGUGCAGUAGGUUGAGGGGUAGCUAAUUGUGGUUCCGGACGAGGUGAAGAUACCCCGAACAAACCCCUCAAAGGAUUGUUUUCCAUAGUAACAAGUGACAUUAAAUUUCACCACACUAUAUAAAUGUUUCCUUACCCAAUUCCACUUACCAAAGGCGCUUCACUCCCUGGCAACGGUGCCAGAAAAUAGCAUUGAUGACCCACAAGUAUCGGGGAUCAAUGUAGCUCUUUUCAAUAAGUAAGAGUGUCGAACCCAACGAGGAGCAGAAGGAAAUGACAAGUAGUUUUCAGUAAGGUAAUGUCUGCAAGUGCUGAAAUUGUAAGUAAUAGAGUAGUUUGAUAGCAAGGUUAUUUGUAACGAGCAAGUAACGAUAGUAGUAACAAAAGUGCAGCAAGGUAGCCCAAUCCUUUUGAGGCAAAUGCAGGACAAAACGGUCUCUUAUAAUAAGCAAAGCGUUCUUGAGGGUACACGGGAAUUUCAUCUAGUCACUUUCAUCAUGUUGGUUCGAUUUGUGUUUGCUACUUUGAUAAUUUGAUAUGUGGGUGGACUGGUGCUUUGGUGCUGUUCUUACUUGAACAAACCUCCUACUUAUGAUUAACCCUCCCGCAAGCAUCCGCAACUACGAGAAAAGUAUUAAGAAUAAAUUCUAACCAUAGCAUUAAACUUUUGGAUCCAAUCGGUCCCUUACGGAAUAGCGCAUAAACUGGGGUUUAAGCUUCUGUCACUCUCGCAACCCAUCAUCUAAUUGCUACUCCAAAAUGCAUUCCCUUAGGCCCAAAUAUGGUGAAGUGUCAUGUAGUUGACGUUCACAUGACACCACUAAGGGAAUCACAACAUGCAUACUAUCAAAACAUCGAACACAUGUCAAGUUCACAUGAUUACUUGCAACAUGAUUUCUCCCGUGACCUCAAGAGCAAAAGUAACUACUCACAAAUGAUAAUCAUGCUCAUGAUCAGAGGAGUAUUAAAUAGCAUAUUGGAUCUGAAUAUAUAAUCUUCCACCAAAUAAACCAUAUAGUAAUCAACUACAAGAUGUAAUCAACACUACUAGUCACCCACAAGCACCAAUCUAUAGUUCCCGUAACAAGAUUGAACACAAGAGAUGAACUAUGGUAUGAGAUGAGAUGGUGCUGUUGAAGAUGUUGAUGGAGAUUGCCCUCCCCAAGAUGGGAUAGUUGUUGGUGAUGAUGAUGACGAUGUUUUCCCCCUCCAGGAGGGAAGUUCCCCCAACGGAAUCGCUUCGUCGGAGGGCAAAAGUGAAGGAAAUAUGCCCUCGAGGCAAUAAUAAAGUUGUUAUUUAUACUUCCUGAUAUCAUGAUAAAUGUUUAUUAUUCAUGCUAGAAUUGUAUUAACCGGAAACUUAGUACAUGUGUGAAUACAUAGACAAACAGAGUGUCACUAGUAUGCCUCUACUUGACUAGCUCAUUAAUCAAAGAUGGUUAAGUUUCCUAGCCAUAGACAUGAGUUGUCAUUUGAUUAACGGUAUCACAUCAUUAGACAAUGAUGUGAUUGACAUGACCCAUCCGUUAGCUUAGCACGAUGAUUGUUUAGUUUGUUGCUAUUGCUUUCUUCAUGACUUAUACAUGUUCCUAUGACUAUGAGAUUAUGCAACUCCCCAAUAUCGGAGGAACACUUAGUGUGCUAUCAAACGUCACAGCGUAACUGGGUGAUUAUAAAGAUGCUCUACAGGUGUCUCCAAUGGUGUUUGUUGAGUUGGCAUAUAUCGAGAUUAGGAUUUGUCACUCCGAUUGUCGGAGAGGUAUCUCUGGGCCCUCUCGGUAAUGCACAUCACUAUAAGCCUUGCAAGCAAUGUGACUAAUGUGUUAGUUGCAGGAUGAUGCAUUACGGAACGAGUAAAGAGACUUGCCGGUAACGAGAUUGAACUAGGUAAUGAGAUACCGACGAUCGAAUCUCGGGCAAGUAACAUACCGAUUACAAAGGGAACAACCUAUGUUGUUAUGCGGUUUGACCGAUCAAGAUCUUCGUAGAAUAUGUGGGAGCCAAUCUGAUCAUCCAGGUUCCGCUAUUGGUUAUUGACCGGAGAUGAGUCUCGGUCAUGUCUACAUAGUUCUCGAACCCGUAGGGUCCGCACGCUUAACGUUCGAUGACGACCGGUAUUAUGAGUUUAUGUGUUUUGAUGUACCGAAGGUUGUUCGGAGUCCCAGAUGUGAUCACGGACAUGACGAGGAGUCUGGAAAUGGUCGAGACAUGAAGAUUGAUAUAUUGGAAGGUUAUGUUUGGACACCGGAAAGGUUUCGGAUGAGUUCGGGCAUUUUUCGGAGUACCGGGGGGUUACCGGAACCCCCCGGGGGCUUAAUGGGCCUACAUGGGCUUUAGUGGAAGAGAGAGGAGGCGGCCAAGAGGUGGGGCGCGCCCCCAAGCCCAAUCCUAAUUGGGGACGGGGGCUGGCCCCCCUUUCCUUCUUCCCCUCUUCUCCUUCCUUCCCCCUCCUAGUUGGACUAGGAAAGGGGGGAAAUCUACUCCUAGUAGGAGUAGGAAUCCCCCCUUGGGGGCGCACCAUGAGGCCGGCCGGCCCCCUCCUCCCCUCCUUUAUAUACGGAGGAGGGGGGCACCCCAUAGACACACAAGUUGAUUAUCAGCCGUGUGCGGUGCCCCCCUCCACAUAUUUCCACCUCGGUCAUAUCGUUGUAGUGCUUAGGCGAAACCCUGCGUCGAUAACUUCAUCAUCACCGUCAUCACGCCGUCGUGCUGAUGAAACUCUCCCUCGGCCUCAACUGGAUCAAGAGUUCGAGGGACGUCACCGAGCUGAACGUGUGCAGAUCGCGGAGGUGUCGUGCGUUCGGUACUUGAUCGGGUGGAUCGCGAAGACGCUCGACUACAUCAACCACGUUACUUAACGCUUCCGCUUUCGGUCUAUGAGGGUACGUGGACACACUCUCCCGCUCGUUGCUAUGCAUCACAUAGAUAGAUCUUGCAUGAUUGUAGGUAAAUUUUUUGAAAUACUAUGUUUCCCAACAGUGGCAUCAGAGCCAGGUCUAUGCGUAUAUGUUAUAUGCACGAGUAGAACACAAAGAGUGCUGGGCGUUAAUAGUCAUACUGCUUACCAGCAUGUCAUACUUUGAUUCGGCGGUAUUGUUGGAUGAAGCGUCCAAGACCGACAUUACAUGACCACAUUCAUGAGACUGGUUCUACCGCCGUGCUUCGCACACAUGUGGCUAGUGGGUGUCUGUUUCUCCAACUUUAGUUGAAUCGAGUGUGACUACGCCCGGUCCUUGUUGAAGGUUAAAACAACACACUUGACGAAAAAUCGUUGUGGUUUUUGAUGCGUAGGUAAGAACGGUUCUUGCUAAGCCCGUAGCAGCCACGUAAAAUUUGCAACAACAAGUAGAGGACGUCUAACUUGUUUUUGCAAGGUAUGUUGUGAUGUGAUAUGGUUAAGACAUGAUGAUAUAUAAAUUGUUGUAUGAGAUGAACAUGUUUUGUAACAGUUAUCGGCAACUGGCAGGAGCCUUAUGGUUGUCGCUUGAUUGUAUGAAAUGCAAUCGCCAUGUAAUUGCUUUACUUUAUCACUAAGCGGUAACGAUAGUCGUAGAAGCAAUAGUUGGCGAGACACCAACGAUGCUUCGAUGGAGAUCAAGGUGUCAAGCCGGUGACGAUGAUGAUCAUCACGGUGCUUUGGAGAUAGAGAUCAAAGGCACAAAAUGAUGAUGGCCAUAUCAUACCACUUAUAUUGAUUGCAUGUGAUGUUUAUCCUUUAUGCAUCUUAUUUUGCUUAGUACGGCGGUAGCAUUAUAAGAUGAUCUCUCACUAAAUUUCAAGGUACAAGUGUUCACCCUGAGUAUGCACCUUGCUACAGUUCGUCGUGCCGAGACACCACGUGAUGAUCAGGUGUGAUAAGCUCUACGUUCACAUACAACGGGUGCAAACCAGUUUUGCACACGCAGAAUACUCGGGUUAAACUUGACGAGCCUAGCAUAUGCAGAUAUGGCCUUGGAACACUGAGACCAAAAGGUCGAGCGUGAAUCAUAUAGUAAAUAUGAUCAACAUAGUGAUUUUCACCAUUGAAAACUACUCCAUCUCACGUGAUGAUCGGACAUUGUUUAGUUGAUUUGGAUCACGUGAUCACUUAGAUGAUUAGAGGGAUGUAUAUCUAAUUGGGAGUUCUUAAGUAAUAUGAUUAAUUGAAUAUUAAUUUAUCAUGAACUUAGUACCUCAUAAUAUUUUGCAUGUCUAGGUUGUUGUAGAUCAAUGGCCCGUGCUACUGUUCCUUUGAAUUUUAAUGCGUUCCUAGAGAAAGCUAAGUUGAAAGAUGAUGGCAGCAACUACAUGGACUGGGUCCGUAACUUGAGGAUUAUCCUCAUUGCUGCACAGAAAAUUAGGUCCUGGAAGCACCGCUAGGUGCAAGACCCGCUGCAGGAGCACGCCGGACGUUGUGAACGCCUGGCAGAGCAAAGCUGGUGACUACUCGAUAGUUCAGUGUGCCAUGCUUUACGGCUUAGAACCAGGACUUCAACGACUUUUUGAACAUCAUGGAGCAUAUGAGAUGUUCGAGGAGUUGAAGUUAAUAUUUGAAGCAAAUGCCCGGAUUGAGAGAUAUGAAGUCUCCAAUAAGUUCUACAACUGUAAAAUGGAGGAGAAUAGUUCUGUUAGUGAACAUAUACUCAAAAUGUCUGGGUAUCAUAAUCACUUGACUCAGCUGGGAGUUAAUCUUCCGGUUCAUAGUGUCAUUUACAGAGUUCUUCAAUCACUGCCACCAAGCUACAAAAGCUUCGUGAUGAACUAUAAUAUGCAAGGGAUGGAUAAGACAAUUCCCGAGCUCUUCGCAAUGCUAAAGGCUGCGGAGGUAGAAAUCAAGAAGGAGCAUCAAGUGUUGAUGGUCAACAAGACCACCAGUUUCAAGAAAAAAGGGUAAAGGGAAGAAGGGUAACUUCAAGAAGAACGGAAAGCAAGUUGCUGCUCAAGUGAAGAAGCCCAAGUCUGGACCUAAGCCUGAGACUGAGUGCUUCUACUGCAAAGGGACUGGUCACUGGAAGCGGAACUGCCCCAAGUAUUUGGCGGAUAAGAAGGAUGGCGAAGUGAACAAAGGUAUAUGUGAUAUACAUGUUAUUAAUGUGUACCUUACUAAUGCUCGCAGUAGUGCCUGGGUAUUUGAUACUAGUUCUGUUGCUAAUAUUUGCAACUCGAAACAGGGACUACGGAUUAAGCAAAGAUUGGCUAAGGACGAGGUGACGAUGCGCGUGGGAAAUGGUUCCAAAGUCGAUGUGAUCGCCGUCGGCAUGCUACCUCUACAUCUACCUUCGGGAUUAGUUUUAGACCUGAAUAAUUGUUAUUUGGUGCCAGCGUUAAGCAUGAACAUUAUAUCUGGAUCUUGUUUGAUGCGAGACGGUUAUUCAUUUAAAUCUAAGAAUAAUGGUUGUUCUAUUUAUAUGAGUAAUAUCUUUUAUGGUCAUGCACCCUUGAAGAGUGGUCUAUUUAAGUUAAAUCUCGAUAGUAGUGAUACACAUAUUCAUAAUAUUGAAGCCAAAAGAGGCAGAGUUGAUAAUGAUAGUGCAACUUAUUUGUGGAACGGCCGUUUGGGUCAUAUUGGUGAAAAGCGCAUGAAGAAACUCCAUACUGAUGGACUUCUGGAAUCACUUGAUUAUGAAUCACUUGGUACUUGCGAACCAUGUGCCUCAUGGGCAAGAUGACUAAAACUCCGUUCUCUGGAACAAUGGAACGAGCAACAAAUUUAUUGGAAAUAAUACACACUGAUGUAUGCGAUUCGAUGAAUAUUGAGGCUCGCGGCGGGUAUCGUUAUUUUCUGACCUUCACAGAUGAUUUGAGCAGAUAUGGGUAUAUCUACUUGAUGAAACAUAAGUCUGAAACAUUUGAAAAGUUCAAAGAAUUUCAGAGUGAAGUGGAAAACCAUCGUAAAAAGAAAAUAAAGUUUCUGCGGUCUGAUCAUGGAGGAGAAUAUUUGAGUUACAACUUUGGUCUUCAUUUGAAACAAUGCGGAAUAGUUUCGCAACUCACCUUAUGAACUGUGGUUUGGGAAGAAACCCAAGUUGUCGUUUCUUAAAGUUUGGGGCUGCGAUGCUUAUGUGAAAAAGCUUCAACCUGAUAAGCUCGAACCCAAAUCGGAGAAAUGUGUCUUCAUAGGAUUCCCAAAGGAGACUGUUGGGUACACCGUCUAUCACAGAUCUGAAGGCAAGAUAUUCGUUGCUAAGAAUGGAUCCUUUCUAGAGAAGGAGUUUCUCUGAAAAGAAGUGAGUGGGAGGAAAGUAGAACUUGAUGAGGUAACUGUACAUGCUCCCUUAUUGGAAAGUAGUUCAUCACAGAAAUCAGUUCAUGUGAUUCCUACACCAAUUAGUGAGGAAGCUAAUGAUGAUGAUCAUGUUACUUCAGAUCAAGUUACUACCGAACCUUGUAGGUCAACCAGAGUAAGAUUUGCACCAGAGUGGUACGGUAAUCCUAUUCUGAAGGUCAUGUUACUUGACCAUGACGAACCUACGAACUAUGAGGAAGCGAUGAUGAGCCCAGAUUUCGCGAAAUGGCUUGAGGCCAUGAAAUCUGAGAUGGGAUACAUGUAUGAGAACAAAGUGUGGACUUUGGUUGAUUUGCCCGAUGAUCGGCAAGCCAUAGAGAAUAAAUGGAUCUUCAAGAAGAAGACUGACGCCGAUGGUAAUGUUACUGUCUACAAAGCUCGACUUGUUGCGAAAGGUUUUUGACAAGUUCAAGGAGUUGACUAUGAUGAGACCUUCUCACCCGUAGCGAUGCUUAAGUCUGUCCGAAUCAUGUUAGCAAUUGCCGCAUUUUAUGAUUAUGAAAUUUGGCAAAUGGAUGUCAAAACUGCAUUCCUUAAUGGAUAUCUUAAAGAAGAGUUGUAUAUGAUGCAACCAGAAGGUUUUGUCGAUCCUAAAAGUGCUAACAAAGUGUGCAAGCUCCAGCGAUCCAUUUAUGGACUGGUGCAAGCCUCUCAGAGUUGGAAUAUACGCUUUGAUAGUGUGAUCAAAGCAUAUGGUUUUAUACAGACUUUUGGAGAAGCCUGUAUUUACAAGAAAGUGAGUGGGAGCUCUGUAGCAUUUCUAAUAUUAUAUGUGGAUGACAUAUUGUUGCUUGGAAAUAAUACAGAAUUUCUGGAUAGCAUAAAAGGAUACUUGAAUAAGAAUUUUUCAAUGAAAGACCUCGGUGAAGAUGCAUAUAUAUUGGGCAUCAAGAUCUAUAGAGAUAGAUCAAGACGCGUAAAUGGACUUUCACAAAGCACAUACCUUGAUAAAGUUUUGAAGAAGUUCAAAAUGCAUCAGUCAAAGAAAGGGUUCUUGCCUGUGUUACAAGGUGUGAAGUUGAGUCAGACUCAAUGCGCGACCACUGCUGAAGAUAGAGAGAAAAUGAAAGUCAUUCCCUAUGCUUCAGCCAUAGGUUCUAUCAUGUAUGCAAUGCUGUGUACCAGACCUGAUGUGUGCCUUGCUAUUAGUUUAGCAGGGAGGUACCAAAGUAAUCCAGGAGUGGAUCACUGGACAGCGGUCAAGAACAUCCUGAAAUACCUGAAAAGGACUAAGGGUAUGUUUCUCAUUUCUGGAGGUGACAAAGAGCUUGUCGUAAAUGGUUACAUUGAUGCAAGCUUUGACACUGAUCCGGAUGACUCUAAGUCACAAUCCGGAUACAUAUUUAUAUUGAAUGGUGGAGCUGUCAGUUGGUGCAGUUCCAAACAGAGCGUCGUGGCGGGAUCUACGUGUGAAGCGGAGUACAUAGCUGCUUCGGAAGCAGCAAAUGAAGGAGUCUGGAUGAAGGAGUUCAUAUCCAAUCUAGGUGUCAUACCUAGUGCAUCGUGUCCAAUGAAAAUCUUUUGUGACAAUACUGGAGCAAUUGCCUUGGCGAAGGAAUCCAGAUUUCACAAGAGAACCAAACACAUCAAGAGACGCUUCAACGCCAUACGCGAUCAAAUCAAGGAGGGAGACAUAGAGAUUUGCAAGAUACAUACAGAUCUGAAUGUUGCAGACCCGUUGACUAAGCCUCUCUCACUAGCAAAACAUGAUCAGGACAAAGACUCCAUGGGUGUUAGAAUCAUUACUGUGUAAUCUAGAUUAUUGACUCUAGUGCAAGUGGGAGACUGAAGGGAAUAUGCCCUAGAGGAAAUAAUAAAUUUGUUAUUUAUAUUUCCUUAUAUCAUGAUAAAUGUUUAUUAUUCAUGCUAGAAUUGUAUUAAUCGGAAACUUAGUACAUGUGUGAAUACAUAGACAAACAGAGUGUCACUAGUAUGCCUCUACUUGACUAGCUCGUUAAUUAAAGAUGGUUAAGUUUCCUAGCCAUAGACAUGAGUUGUCAUUUGAUUAACGGGAUCACAUCAUUAGAGAAUGAUGUGAUUGACAUGACCCAUCCGUUAGCUUAGCACGAUGAUCGUUUAGUUUGUUGCUAUUGCUUUCUUCAUCACUUAUACAUGUUCCUAUGACUAUGAGAUUAUGGAACUCCCGAAUACCGGAGGAACAAUUAGUGUGCUAUCAAACGUCACAAUUUAACUGGGUGAUUAUAAAGAUGCUCUACAGGUGUCUCCGAUGGUGUUUGUUGAGUUGGCAUAGAUCGAGAUUAGGAUUUGUCACUUCGAUUGUCGGAGAGGUAUCUCUGGGCCCUCUCGGUAAUGCACAACACUAUAAGCCUUGCAAGCAAUGUGACUAAUGAUUUAGUUGCGGGAUGAUACAUUAUGGAACGAGUAAAGAGACUUGCCAGUAACGAGAUUGAACUAGGUAUUGAGAUACCGACGAUCGAGUUUCGGGCAAGUAACCUACCGAUGACAAAGGGAACAACGUAUGUUGUAUGCGGCUUGACCGAUAAAGAUUUUCGUAGAAUAUGUGGGAGCCAAUAUGAGCAUCCAGGUUCCGCUAUUGGUUAUUGACCGGAGAUGAGUCUCGGUCAUGUCUACAUAGUUCUCGAACCCAUAGGGUCCGCACGCUUAAUGUUCGAUGAUGAUCGGUAUUAUGAGUUUAUGUGUUUUGAUGUACCGAAGGUUGUUCAGAGUCCCGGAUGUGAUCACGGACAUGACGAGGAGUCUCGAAAUGGUCGAGACAUGAAGAUUGAUAUAUUGGAAGGUUAUGUUUGGGCACCGGAAAGGUCCAGAUGAGUUCAGGCAUUUUCCGGAGUACCGGGGGGUUACCGGAACCCCCCAGGGGCUAGAUGGGCCUACAUGGGCUUUAGUGGAAGAGAGAGGAGGCGGCCAAGAGGUGGGGCAUGCCCCGCCAAGCCCAUUCCGAAUUAGGGAGGGGGGCCGGCCCCCCUUUCCUUCUUCCCCUCUUCUCCUUCCUUCCCCCUCCUAGUUGGACUAGGAAAGGGGGGAAGCCUACUCCUCGUAGGAGUAGGAAUCCCCCUUGGGGGCGCACCAUGAGGCCGGCCAGCCCCCUCCUCCCCUCCUUUAUAUACGGAGGAGGGGGCACCCCAUAGACACACAAGUUGAUUCUUAGCCGUGUGCGGUGCCCCCUCCACUUAUUUCCACCUCGGUCAUAUCGUUGUAGUGCUUAGGCGAAGCCCUGCGUCGGUAACUUCAUCAUCACUGUCAUCACGCGGUUGUGCUGACGAAACUCUCCCUCGGCCUCAACUGGAUCAAGAGUUCGAGGGACGUCACCGAGCUGAACGUGUGCAGAUCGCAGAGGUGUCGUGCGUUCGGUACUUGAUCGGUUGGACCACGAAGACGUUCGACUACAUCAACCGCGUUACUUAAUGCUUCCGCUUUCGGUCUACGAGGGUACAUGGACACAUUCUCCCGCUCAUUGCUAUGCAUCAUAUAGAUAGAUCUUGCGUGAUCGUAGGUAAAAAAUUUGAAAUACUGCGUUCCCCAACAAAAAGUGCUCCUGCCCAAGUUCCGCCUAGAGACGGCGGCGCUCCGUCCCGAAAGUCUUCUCCUUUUUUCUAGGUCAAAAUGACCUAUAUACCAUAAGAUUGGCAACAGAGGUGGGCCUGGUUGAGCACAACCCACCAGGAAGCGCCUAGGCUCCCUGGCGCACCCAGGUGGGUUGUGCCCACCUGGUGGUCCCCCUCUGGUAGUUACUUGCUCCAAUAAUCCAUAAAAAUCCUCGUGAAGUUUCAGCUUGUUUGGAGUUGUGCAGAAUAGGUACCCUGACGUAGAUUUUCCAGGUCCAGAUUUCCAACUGCCGGAAUUCUCCCUCUUUGUGUAUACCUUGCAUAUUAUGAGAGAAAAUGCAUUAUAAUUACUCCAAAAAGCAUUAUUAUGGAUAAAAAAUCAUAAAUAACACUAAGAAAACAUGAUGCAAAAUGGACGUAUCAGGGAGUUGAUACAUCCAUUUUGCAUCUUGUUUUCCUACUGUUAUUUAUGAUGUUUUUAUGCAUAACAAUGCUUUUUGGAGUAAUUCUAAUGCAUUUCUCUCAUAAUAUGCAAGGUACACACAAAGAGGGAGAAUUCCGACAGCUGGAAAUCUGGACCUGGAAAAGUUACGUCAGGCUACCUAUUCUGCACAACUCCAAACAAGCUGAAACUUUAUAGAGAAUUUUUAUGGAAUAUAUGAAGAAUAUUGGAGCAAAUAAGUACCAGAGUGGGCCGACCAGGUGGGCACAACCCACCUGGGCGCGCCAGGGAGCCCAGGCGUGCCCUGGUGGGUUGUGCUCACCCAGGCCCACCUCCGGUGCCCAUCUUCUGGUAUAUAAGUCAUUUUGACCUACAAAAAAUAAGGAGAGUACUUUCGGGACGGAGCGCCGCCAUCUCGAGGCGGAAUUUGGGCAGGAGCACUUUUGCCCUCUGGCGGAGCGAUUCCGCCGGGGGAACUUCCCUCCCAGAGGGGGGAAUCAUCAUCAUCAUCAUCACCAACAACUCUCCCGUCUCGGGGAGGGCAGUCUCCAUCAACAUCUUCAACUGCACCAUCUCCUCUCAAACCCUAGUUCAUCUCUUGUGUUCAAUCUUUGUACCGGAACUAUAGAUUGGUGCUUGUGGGUGACUAGUAGUGUUGAUUACAUCUUGUAGUUGAUUACUAUAUGGUUUAUUUGGUGGAAGAUUAUAUGUUCAGAUCCAAUAUGCUAUUUAAUCCCCCUCUGAUCUUGAGCAUGAUAAUCAUUUGUGAGUAGUUACUUUUGUUCUUGACGUCACGGGAGAAAUCAUGUUGCAAGUAAUCAUGUGAACUUGAUAUGUGUUCGAUAUUUUGAUAGUAUGUAUGUUGUGAUUCCCUUAGUGGUGUCAUGCGAACGUCGACUACAUGACACUUCACCAUGUUUGGGCCUAAGGGAAUGCAUUGUGGAGUAGUUGUUAGAUGAUGGGUUGCGAGAGUGACAGAAGCUUAAACCCUAGUUUAUGCGCUAUUUUGUAAGGGACCGAUUGGAUCCAAAAGUUUAAUGCUAUUGUUAGAAUUUAUUCUUAAUACUUUUCUCGUAGUUGCGGAUGCUUGUGAGGGGCUUAAUCAUAAGUAGGAGGUUUGUUCAAGUAAGAACAGCACCUAAGCACCAGUCCACCUACAUAUGAAAUUAUCAAAGUAGCGAACACAAAUCGAAUCAACAUGAUGAAAGUGACUAGAUGAAAUUCCCGUGUACCCUCAAGAACGCUUUGCUUACUGUAAGAGACCGUUUUUUCCUGUCCUUUGCCUCAAAAGGAUUGGGUUACCUUGCUGCACUUUUGCUACUAUUAUUAUUGCUUGCUCGUUACAAAUUAUCUUGCUAUCAAACUACUAUGUUACUUACAAUUUCAACACUUGCAGACAUUAUCUUGCUGAAAACCACUUGUCAUUUCCUUCUGCUCCUCGUUGGGUUCGACCCUCUUACUUAUCGGAAAGAGCUACAAUUGAUGCCCUAUACUUGUGGGUCAUCCCCGCUACAGCUAGUAGUCUGCAUGUUGCCACUGAAGCUACUGAUUAUUUUAUUGCUCUGCAAGAUAUGAUGAGUAAACUAAUGGUUUCUACACCUGAUGCUCUGAAGAAACUUGAAGGACAUACAGUGAUUGCUGCUAGAUGCUAGAUGAUGGAAGUUAAUGAUGAAUUUGGCAAUAUCUGAAAAUGUCUUUUCACAGUCACUGAAGAAACACCUGCUCCAUUUGUCAGCAACUGCACUAUCACUGAGCUUUCUGAUCAACCUGUUGUACCUAUUGUGGUGGAACCUGCCUAUGUUCAUACUGAUACUACCCCAAUUGGCAAACAUAAAAAAGCUCAAGCCCCACUUGACAUUCAAGAUGUUAGAAGAAGCAGAAGACUGGCUGGUCUGAGUGUUGGAUUUAAGAACAAAGAGGCAGCCACAUUAGCUCUAUGCAAGAAAAGUGGGCCAACUAUCAAGAGGAACCUAGCUACUGCUUUUGAUCAUGAAAUUAUAGAUGUUGAUGCCCCUCCACCCCCUGAUCUCCCAAUCAAGAUCAUUCAGACCAUUGCCACAACACACUGCCAAGUGCCUCCUAGUGAGGUUACUGAAGACAAGAUGAACUCCACUGGUUCUAAUGAAUAGAUCCUCCUCACUAGUGCCUCCUAGUGAGGUUACUGAAUGACAUGGUGUAAUAAGUUUAUGGCCAAUCAUAGCCUCUUUGUUUACUGCCAUUAUGGCAUUAGUUGCUUGAUUUUGUAUCAGGCCUUCAGAUUCCAGUUGCAAUUAUGUAGUACUUGUUAUAUUUGCCUCUGUCUCUGGGAAUUACUGCCCAACAUCAUGUCCUAUAUGUUCUGUUACUUGCAUUGGAUGAUGUUACAGUCAGCAAUUCAAUCAUAUCUGAUUCAAAUGGCAGUUUUUUAUGUACUCUCACACUGUUGAUUACAUCAACAAUAGUGUGUCAUAACCCCAGAAGUUUUUAUCAUGAAUAGACAUUGGAACAUAUUAAAUUGGAUCGUUAGAGGUAUCAACUCAUGGGUCAGAUGGGAUGAUAUUAGACAAAAAAUAGAGGAAAGUAAAUGCAUCAUUAUUUGUUUACAAGAAACAAAGGGUAGUUGCAGAAGCGUCACAAGAAGUAGAUGACUAGAUGAUCAUUUCUCCUAGUUUAGAUGCAAAUGUUUAUUGAGGUGUGUGUGAAUGAUCUAUAUAGUCACUUAUGUAAUUGGAUGUUUAUUUCAGUUAUAUAUAUAUAUAUGUUACUCUUCUGUAGACAGAGCAAAUCACAUGGAUCAUUAGCAGCAAUCGACUGUGUUAUUAUUGGUCUCUGCACACAUUCUGACAAUGGACCUGUUUGCCGCGUAUCACACACACCUUGUUCAAUCAAACUAUUUCUGUUGUCUUUGCUCAUCGCAAACUGUUCAUCCGAGUGAACUGUAUGCCCUCGAUCGCACACACCUUGAUCUGGCUGGCCGUUUCUAUUGUGUUGCCUAAUCACACACAAUUCAUUCUAGUGAACUAUAUGCCGUAUAUCGUACACACCCUCAUCUGGCUGCCCAUUUCUGUUGUUCUGCCUCAUCGCAAACAGUUCUGCUGGAUUAACCGUAUGCCACGCAUCGCACACGCGACUCUAAUCUGAACCUUGUUUGAUGUCAUCGCCGUUGCAAACGUUUUUUUAAUCUUUUUUGACGGUUUUAUUUCACCGUUUGUGACUAAUGCAUCGCACACAGUUUCGUCGAAGGGUCUCUGAUUGGACUGUCGUGUUUGGACCAACCUACAGUAGUGCUACCACUUGCUAGAGUCUCAUCUGAUCACAUUCCUAUUAACAUUCAAAUUGGUAUUGAUAUCCCCAAGACCACUAUCUUCAUAUUUGAAACUUAUUGGGUGGAUUUUGAAACUUGCUAGAGUCCCACUCUCUAACUCUGCCAAAUAUAUUACUGCUAGAUUCAAAUGCGUCAGGCAUGGAUUAAAACAAUGGAGCGGAAACUUGUCAAAACUGAAUAAGUGUAUUGUGGCCAACAAUUAUGUUAUUGCCUUAAUUGAUGGCAUUGAAGAACAAAGAGACCUAACUAUACAGGAAAAGAAUUUCAGAAUAAUCUUGAAGAAGCAUGUUCUGAAGCUCCUUCAUGCCAAAAGAAUUUACUGGAAGAGCAGAUACAAGAGAAGAAAAAUUAAAUUUGGAGAUGAAAAUUCAAAAAUUCUUCCAUGCCAUGGCUACCAUAAAUUACAAAAAAAAUCAUAUGCAGCAUCCAGGGGCCUGAUGGGACAAGCUAUUCAUCCCAUGACCAAAAAGAUGCGAUCAUAUGGUAGUCAUAUAAAGAGAGACUUGGAAUAACCUCAAAUCCCAUUAUGUUAUUUGACCUCUGUGACUUGGUUCAGUCACACAAUCUGGUACAUUUGGAUGAUCAAUUUGCAGUUGAUGAAAUUGAACAAGUGGUCAAAGAUUUCCUUGCUGACACAGCACCUGGACCUGAUGGAUUUAAUGGAUACUUUAUCAGAAAGUGCUGGCCCGUCAUCAAACAAGACUUCUACACUUUGAUCAGGGAUUUCUUUGAAGGAAACUAUGACACUUAGAGCAUUAAUACUGCCUAUAUUACCUUGAUACCGAAAAAACAGUCUCCUAGAACUAUGAAUGAUUACAUGCCCAUAUAUUUAGUUAGCCUGCCCCUCAAAUUCAUUACUAAGCUCAUGGCUAACAGAUUACAAAGAGAGAUCAUUCCAAUACUGCAUCAGAACCAAUAUGGUUUUAUCAAGGGCAAGAACAUUCAAGAUUGUCUUGGUUAUGCUUUUGAAUACUUGCAUCUAUGCCACAACUCAAGAAAGCCAAUCAUGAUCGUUAAACUGGAUUUUGAGAAAGCAUUUUAUAAAAUUGAGUACUCUGCUAUUUUGGAAAUGUUGAAAGCAAAAGGAUUUGGUCCAAGAUGGAUUAACUGGGUAUCCAAAAUUCUUCAGUGUGCAUCCACAUCUAUUUUACUUAAUGGUGUUGCUGGUAAAGUCAUACAAUACAAAUGUGGGCUUAGACAGGGUGAUCCUCUAUCCCCACUGUUAUAUGUUAUUGCUCCUGAUCUCUUGCAAUCCAUCAUUAAUGCUGCCUGGCUAAAGGGUGAAUUAUCCCUGCCAGUGGAAAACAGUUAUGGACAAUAGUACCCCAUCAUCGAAUAUGCUGAUGACACCCUCUUGAUCAUGCUUGCAGAAUUAAAUCAACUGAUGCAUCUUAAAACCCUCUUGCAAAUGUUCAGCAACUCCACAGGAAUCCAAGUCAACUACAACAAAUCAUCAAUAGUUUCAAUCAAUGUCAGCCCUGAACAUAUGAAUGUACUAGCUGCAAAUUUUGGAUGUAAAGUUCAAGCACUUCCAUUCACAAACCUUGGACUUCCACUAGGCACCACUAAACCAUCCGUCCAAGACCUCAUCCCUGUUAUUGCAAAGAUUGACAGAAAACUAUCUGGUGUUGCUAAUUUCAUGAACUAUCCAAGCAGGCUUACAUAUGUCAAUUCUGUCAUUGCAGCUAUGCCCAUUUUUGCCAUGUGCACUUUCAAAAUGCAUAUAACUGUUCUCGAUCAUGUUAACAAAUCAAGCAAAAAAAUUCUAUGGCAUGGGAAUGAUAGUGAGAGAAAAGGUAACUAUCUUGCAAGCUGGAACAUGAUAUGUAGGCCAAAGAGCCAGGGAGGACUUGGUAUUCUUAAUCUGAAAGUUCAAAAUAUUGCACUGUUAGUCAAGCAGUUACACAAAUUCUACAAUCAAGCAGAUGUGCCUUGGAUCAAUCUCAUCUGGCAGGCUUAGUACUCAAACAAUGAAGUGCCUCAUGCAACCAAAAUGAAAGGAUCCUUCUGGUGGAGGGAUAUACUAAGUCUGCAUGAUAUAUACAAGAACAUGACCACUUGCAUCAUAUCCAGAGGAAUACAACUCUAUUAUGGGAAGACUUAUGGAAUAAUAGCUAUGCUACAAACAAAUUCCCUGAACUGCAUUCUUUUGCUCUGGACAACAAGAUCUCAUCCAAAAGGCAAAAAAUAUGGAUUCAUACUAUUCCAUGUUUCAAUUACCUCUGUCCCUAAUUGCUCAUUAGCAACUGCAUCAACUGUCUUAUUCUUUGAUUAGCGUUACAGAUUCUGAUCAACAGGACAUUUGGAAACUCAAUUGGGGCAACAAUUUAUACAACACCAAGAAAGUAUAUAAUUUCUUGAUGGCAGAUGAUCAAGCACCAAAACCCCUCCAAUGGAUAUGGAAGAGUUGUUGUAUGCCCAAGAAAAGUUCUUUAUUUGGCUUAUGCUCAUGUGACUUGCUCAUAAGAAGACAAAUCCCAUGCUCAUUAUGUUGUAAUCAACCUGUUAAAGAUCGUAUGCACCUUUUCAUCUCAUGUCCUUUCAGCCAAGGGUUUUGGUGGAGCAUCAACAUGGAAUUCAAUACAGAUAAUAGCAUUCACAACAUGAUCAUUGAUGCAAGCACAGAUACAGAUUGGACUUCUUCAUGGAGAUCAUGACCAUUGGCUACUGGAAUAUAUGGAAUCAAAGAAAUGGCAAAAUAUUUGAUAACAUUCAUUGCUCUAUCAAUCAAUGCAAAAUGAUUUCACUUCCACUUUCUAUGACACUACUAUCAAAGCAAAACCUAGCAUCAAAGAGGGCAUGCUAUCAUGGCUAGAUUGUAUUUAAUUUUCUUACUUUGUAUUCUUUUCCUUUAUUUGUCCUGUUAAGACGCAUAUGUAAAGUUAUUUUUACAUAAUUAAUAGAAAAUGAUCUGCAGUAGGGGUUUCCCCUACUGUUCUUUGGUAAAAAAAAUAACAAUACAAUAUUAUUGCUUCUAGGGCAUAUUUCCAACAACAUCUUGUCCAUCUUGUUCCCAGCAAUGACUCAUGUCGGUUGCCAUACUGGUGGACACCCUUCCCAGCCUAUUGUGAGGUGUCGGUGUCUGUGUCAGUUGUAGCUCGCGAUUUUCUCAGUUGCAGCAUGCGGGUGAGCCUUCUGCUGACACUGUCAUUGGUUCCAACUCCGUGGGGUGUUAGUCGCUGCAUCACGGGGUGCUGGUUCCAGCACCACAACAUGUCGGUCACAGCAUCACGGUGUGUCGGUUACAUCAGAAAAAUUGCCUCGCCGGUCCCAACAAAUCAUCUCGCUGGUUGUAGCUUGCAGUCUUGCCGGUUCCGAUAGCCCAUUCCAGCUUGCGGAAACCAUGGUCGCAAAUUUCGAUUGUCGGUUGCAGCAAAUGGUGGCCAUCAUUCCAACAUCGGCGGGUACCAGUUAUAACACCACGGCCACCAGGGCGCAUCUUUUUCUCUAGCACCGUCAGCAGCCCCGUCGCAACUUUUCUGUGCUAGUUCCAUCUUUGCCACCGGGAGGUUACAGCUUGUCGCCCAAUGGUACGUCUCCAACGUAUCUAUAAUUUUUUAUUGUUCCAUGUUAUUAUAUUAUCAGUUUUGGAUGUUUUAUAUGCAUUAAUAUGCUAUUUUAUAUUAUUCUUGGGACUAACCUAUUAACCUAGAGCCUAGUGCCAGUUUUUGUUUUUUCUUUUUUUAGAGUUUCAAAGAAAAGGAAUACCAAACGGAAUAAAACUUUCGCUAUGAUUUUUCUUGGACCAGAGGACUUGGAGUGCAGGUCAGAGAAGCCACGAGGCAGCCACAAGGACGGAGGGUGCACCCGGGGGGGUAGGGCGCGCACCCCACCCUUGUGGGCCCCUCGUGACUCCAUCGACCGAGUUUCUUCGCCUAUAUAUUCUCAUAUAUCCCAAAACCAACAGAGAGAGCCACGAAAACACUUUUCCACCGCCGCAACCUUCUGUACCCGUGAGAUCCCAUCUAGGGGCCUUUUCCAGCAUCCUACCGGAGGGGGAUUCGAUCACGGAGGGCUUCUACAUCAACACCAUUGCCCUUCCGAUGAAGUGUGAGUAGUUUACCACAGACCUACGGAUCCAUAGCUAGUAGCUAGAUGGCUUCUUCUCUCUCUUUGAUUCUCAAUACCAUGUUCUCCUCGAUGUUCUUGGAGAUCUAUUCGAUGUAAUACCUUUUUGCGAUGUGUUUGCCGAGAUCCAAUGAAUUGUGGAUUUAUGAUCAGCUUAUCUAUGAAUAUUAUUUGAAUCUUCUCUGAAUUCUUAUAUGUAUGAUUUGAUAUCUUUUCAAGUCUCUUCGAACUAUCGAUUUGGUUUGGCCGACUAGAUUGGUUUUUCUUGCAAUGGGAGAAGUGCUUAGCUUUGGGUUCAAUCUUGUUGUGUCCUUUCCCAAUGACAGUAGGGGCAGCAAGGCACGUAUUGUAUUGUUGCCAUCGAGGAUAAAAAGAUGGGGUUUUCAUCAUAAUGCUUGAGUUAAUUCCUCUACAUCAUGUCAUCUUGCUUAAUGCCUUAGUCCGUUCUUUAUGAACUUAAUACUCUAGAUGCAUAUUGGAUAGCGAUCAAUGUGUGGAGUAAUAGUAGUAGAUGCACGCAAGAGUCGGUCUACUUGACACGGACGUGAUGCCUAUAUCCAUGAUCAUUGCCUUAGAUAUCAUCAUAACUUUGUGCUUUCCUAUCAAUUGCUCGGCAGUAAUUUGUUCACCCACCAUAAUAUUUUCUAUCUUGAGAGAAGCCUCUAGUGAAACCUAUGCCCCCGGGUCUAUUUUCUAUCAUAUAAGUUUCUAUUUUCCAUCAUAUAAGUUUCCGAUCUACAAUUUUAGUUUCCAAUUUACUUCCUUUGCAAUCCUUUACUUUCCGAUCUAUAAACCAAAAAUACCAAAAAUAUUUACUUUACCGUUUAUCUAUCUCUAUCAGAUCUCAUUUUUGCAAGUAACCGUGAAGGGAUUGACAACCCUUUAUCUCAUUGGGUGCAAUUUGUUUGAUUGUUUGUGCAGGUAUUCGGUGACUUGUUCGUUGUCUCCUACUGGAUUGAUACCUUGGUUCUCAAACUAAGGGAAAUACUUACUCUACUCUGCUACAUCACCCUUUCCUCUUCAAGGGAAAAGCCAACGCAAGCUCAAGAAGUAGCAGGAAGAAUUUCUGGCGCCGUUGCCGGGGAGAUCUAUGCCAAGUCAAGACUUACUAAGUACCCAUCAUAAACUCUCAUGUCUUGCAUUACAUUAUUCCCCAUUCGCCUCUCGAACGAUUUUUGAAAAGAUUUGCCUUUUCUUCGCCCCUCUUCCGUUUGUCUUCUUCGCUUGCUUUUUGUGUGCUCGUGUGUUGGAUUGCUUGCUUUGUCGCGAUGACUCAAGAGAAUACCAAAUUGUGUGAAUUUUCCAAUACCAACAACACUGAUUUUAUUAGUACUCCGAUUGCUCCCGCUACUAAUGUGGGAUCUUGUGAAAUUAAUGCUGCUUUGCUGAAUCUUGUUCUGAAAGAUCAAUUUUCCGGCCUUCCUAGUGAAGAUGUCGCAUCCCAUCUAAACAAUUUUGUUGAUUUGUGUGAUAUGCAAAAGAAAAAAGAUGUGGAUAAUGAUAUUCUUAAAUUGAAGCUAUUUCCGUUCUCGCUUCGAGAUCGUGCUAAAACUUGGUUUUCAUCUUUGCCUAAAAAUAGUAUUGAUUCAUGGAAUAAGUGUAAAGAUGCUUUUAUUUCCAAGUAUUUUCCUCCUGCUAAGAUCAUCUCCCUUAGGAACAAUAUUAUGAAUUUUAAGCAACUUGAUCAUGAACAUGUUGCACAAUCUUGGGAGAGGAUGAAAUUGAUGAUACGAAAUUGCCCUACGCAUGGUUUGAAUUUGUGGAUGAUUAUACAAAAAAAAUAUGCUGGAUUGAAUUUUUCUUCUAGAAAUCUUUUAGAUUCGGCCGCGUAGCUACUUAUAUGAAAUUACUUGAGGAGAAGCUAUUAAACUCCUAGAUAAUAUUAUGGUUAAUUAUUCUCAAUGGCAUACCAAAAGAUCUUCCACUAGUAAAAAAGUGCAUGCGAUUGAAGAGAUUAAUGUUUUGAGUGGAAAGAUGGAUGAGCUUAUGAAAUUAUUUUCUAGAAAGAGUGCUCCUAUUGAUCCUAAUGAUAUGCCUUUUUCUACUUUGAUUGAGAAUAAUAAUGAAUCUAUGGAUGUGAAUUUUGUUGGUAGGAACAAUUUUGGUAAUAACGCGUAUAGAGGUAAUUUUAAUCCUAGGCCGUUCCUAGUAAUUCCUCUAAUAAUUAUGGUAAUUCCUACAACAAUUCUUAUGGAAAUUAUAAUAAGAUGCCCUCUGAUUUUGAGAAUAGUGUUAAAGAAUUUAUGAGUUCGCAAAAGAAUUUCGAUGCUUUGAUUGAAGAAAAAUUGCUCAAGAUUGAUGAUUUGGCUAGGAACGUGGAUAGAAUUUCUCUUGAUGUUGAUUCUUUGAAACUUAUAUCUAUUCCACCCAAGCAUGAUAUCAAUGAGUCUGCCAAAGCUAUGAGAAUUUCCAUUGAUGAGUGCAAGGAAAGAAUCGCUAAGAUGCGUGCUAAAAAAGAUUGGUUUAUAAAAGCUUGUUCUUCCAGUUUCCGUGAAAAUAAUGAUGAAGAUCUUAAAGUGAUUGAUGUGACUCCUAUUGAAUAUUUUUUCCAAUAUAAAUCUUGAUAAAGAUGGGACUGGAGAUGAGUCAACUUUAGUUAAAAGGCGUCCCAAUGAUUCGGAGUUUUUAGAUCUUGAUACAAAAAUUGAUAAAAGUAGGAUUGGAGAGGUCAAAACUUUAAGUAGCAAUGAACCCACUCUUUUGGAUUUCAAGGAAUUUUAAUUAUGAUAAUUGUCUUUAAUAGAUUUUAUUUCCUUGUUGCAAUCCAUGUUGAAUUCCCCUCAUGCUUAUAAUAAAAAAAAUCUUUUACUAAACAUAUCGUUGAUGCCAUGAUGCAAUCUUUUGAAGAAAAGCUUGAAUUGGAAGUUUCAAUCCCUAGAAAACUUUAUGAUGAGUGGGAACCUACUAUUAAGAUUAAGAUCAAAGAUUAUGAGUCCCAUGCUUUGUGUGAUUUGGGUGCUAGUUUUUCCAUGAUUCCAAAAACUCUAUGUGAUGUGCUAGGUUUCCGUGAAUUUGAUGAUUGUUCCUUAAAUUUGCAUCUUGCGGAUUCCACUAUUAAGAAGCCUAUGGGAAGGAUUAAUGAUGUUCUUAUUGUUGAAAAUAGGAAUUAUGUGCCCAUAGAUUUCAUUGUUCUUGAUAUAGAUUGCAAUCCUACGUGUACUAUUAUUCUUGGUAGACCUUUUCUUAGAACGAUUGGUGCAACUAUUGAUAUGAAAGAAGGAAACAUUAGACUUCAAUUUCCGUUAAGGAAAGGUAUGUGCUAUCUUUGAGCUUGCGUUGGUUUUUCCCUUGAAGGGGAAAGGGUGAUGCAGCAAAGGAGCGUAAGUAUUUCCCUCAGUUUUGAGAACCAUGGUAUCAAUCCAGUAGGAGACUAUGCAACAAGCCACCGAAUACCUGCACAAACAAACACCAACUUGCAAGCAACGCGACAAAGGGGUUGUCAAUCCCUUCACGGUUAUUUGCAAUGUGAGAUCUGAUAGAGAUGGAUAAAUGGUAAAGUAAUAUUUUUGGUAUUUUUGGUUUAAGGGACGGAAAGUAAAGAUUGCAAAAUAAAGGAAAGGCAACAGAAAUUGGCAAGUUGACGGAAACCAAUAUGAUGCAAAAUAGACCCGGGGGCCAUAGGUUUCAAUAGAGGCUUCUCUCAAGAUAGAAAUUAUUACGGUGGGUGAACAAAUUACUGCCGAGCAAUUGAUAGAAAAGCGCAAAGUUAUGACGAUAUCUAAGGCAAUGAUCAUGAAUAUAGGCAUCACGUCCGUGUCAAGUAGACCGAAACGAUUCUGCAUCUACUACUAUUACUCCACACAUCGACCGACUCCUGCGUGCAUCUAGAGUAUUAAGUUCACAAGAACAUAGUAACGCAUUAAGCAAGAUGACAUGAUGUAGCAGGAUUAACUCAAGCAAUAUGAUGAAAACUCCAUCUUUUUAUCCUCGAUGGCAACAAUACAAUACGUGCCUUGCUACCUCUACUGUCACUGGGAAAGGACACCGCAAGAUUGAACCCAAAGCUAAGCACUUAUCCCAUUGCAAGAAAAACCAAUCUAGUUGGCCAAACCAUAUCGAUAGUUCGAAGAGACUUGCAAAGAUAUCAAAUCAUGCUUAUAAGAAUUCAGAGGAGAUUCAAAUAAUAUUCAUAGAUAAACUUGAUCAUAAAUCCACAAUUCAUCGGAUCUCGGCAAACAUGCCGCAAAAGAGUAUUGCAUUGAAUAGACCUCCAAGAACAUCGAGGAGAACUUUGUAUUGAGAAUCAAAGAGAGGUAAGAAACCAUCUAGCUACUAGCUAUGGACCCGUAGGUCUGAAGUAAACUACUCAUGCUUCAUCGGAGAGGCAAUGGUGUUGAUGUAGAAGCCCUUCGUGAUCGAUUCCCCCUCCGGCAGGAUGCCGGAAAAGGCCCCAAGAUGGGAUCUCAUGGGUACAGAAGGUUGCGGUGGUGGAAAAGUGGUUUCGUGGCUCUCCCGAAUAUUUUUGGGGUAUAAGAGUAUAUAAAGAAGGAAGAAUUAGGUCAGGGGAGCUAUGAGGGGCCCACGAGGUCGGGGGGAGCACCCCACCCCCCUGGGCGCGCCCUCCACCCUUGUGGCCGCCUCGAGGCUCCUCUGACUUGCACUCCAAGUCUCCUGGGUGUCUUCUGGUCCAAGAAAAAUCAUGGAGAAAGUUUUAUCCCAUUUGGACUCCGUUUGGUAUUCCAUUUUUGUGAAACUCUAAAACAAGGAAAAAAUAGAAACUAGCACUGGGCUCUAGGUUAAUAGGUUAGUCCCAAAAAUCAUAUAAAAUAGCAUAUUAAUGCAUAUAAAACAUCCAAAACAGAUAAUAUAAUAGCAUGGAACAAUAAAAAAUUAUAGAUACGUUGGAGACGUAUCAGUAUGGAACACUUUGCAAGAAAGAAAAUUAAAUUGCCUUAUGAAUCUAUUAUGAGAGCCACUUAUGGAUUGCAUGCCAAAGAUGAUAAUACUUAGAUCUAUUCGUGUUUUAUGCCUAGCUAAGGGCGUUAAACAAUAGCGCUUAUUGGGAGGCAACCCAAUUUUUUUUUGCUUUUUAGGUUCUAUUUUGCAAUGAAUAUUUCACCUAGCCUCUCGUUAGAUGUGGUUUUGUGUUUUAAUUAGUGUUUGUGCCAAGUAAGACCUUUGUGAUAAUUUACGGUGAUAGUUGAUUUGAUCUUGCUGAAAAACAGAAACUUUUGCGCUCAGGAAAAAAAUCUCAUUUUUUACAGAAGCGUGAUAAAAUACUGAUUCUUUCUGCAGAAGAUUAAUAAAAUAAUUUCUUAGGUUGUCCUAAUUUUUCAGAAUUUUUGGAGUUACAGAAGUAUUCGAAAUAUCCAGAUUGCUACACACUGUUCUGUUUUUGACAGAUUCUGUUUUCUAUGUGUUGUUUGCUUAUUUUGAUGAAUCUAUGGCUAGUAUCGGGGGGUAUGAACCAUGGAAAAGUUGUAAUACAGUAGAUAUUACACUGAUAUAAAUAAAGAAUGAGUUCACAACAGUACCAAAAGUGGUGAUUUAUUUUCUUAUACUAACGGAGCUUAUGAGAUUUUCUGUUGAGUUUUGUGUUGUGAAGUUUUCAAGUUUUGGGUAUGGAUUUGAUGGACUAUGGAAUAAGGAGUGGAAAGAGCCUAAGCUUGGGGAUGCCCCGAAAGGCAUCCCCUCUAUCGUCUUUGUCUAUCGGUAACUUUACUUGAGGCUAUAUUUUUAUUCACCACAUGAUAUGUGUUUUGCUUGGAGCGUCUUGUAUGAUUUGAGUCUUUGCUUUUUGGUUUGCCUGUUGUACACACCUUUUGAGAGAGACACGCAUGAAUCGUGAUUUAUUAGAAUACUCUAUGUGCUUCACUUAUAUCUUUUGAGCUAGGCAAUAUUGCUCUAGUGCUUCACUUAUAUCUUUUUAGAGCACAGCGGUGGUUUUAUUUUAUAGAAAUUGCUGAACACUCGUGCUUCACUUAUAUUAUUUUGACAGUCUCCAAACAUCACAAUAAUUUUCUUGGGUUAUAAAUUUAUUCCUAAUAUGAUAGACAUCCAAGAGGGAUAUAAUAAAAACUUUCAUAUAAAGUGCAUUGAAUACUAUGAGAAGUUUGAUUCCUUAUGAUUUUUUUAAGAUAUGAAGAUGGUGAGUAUUAGAGUCAUGCUAGUAAGUAAUUGUGAAUUUGGGAAAUAGUUGUUUUAAAGUUUGUGAUUCCCGUAGCAUGCACGUAUGGUGAACCGUUAAUGUAUGAAGUCGGAGCAUGAUUUAUUUAUUGAUUGUCUUCCUUAUGAGUGGCGGUCGGGGACGAGCGAUGGUCUUUUCCUACCAAUCUAUCCCCUAGGAGCAUGCAUGUAGUACUUCGUUUCGAUAACUAAUAGAUUUUUGCAAUAAGUAUAUGAGUUCUCUAUGACUAAUGUUGAGUCCAUGGAUUAUACGCACUCUCACCCUUCCACCAUUGCUAGCCUCUCUAGUGCCGCGCAACUUUCGCCGGUACCAUAAACCCGCCAUAUACCUUCCUCAAAACAGCCCCAUACCUAACUAUUAUGGCAUUUCCAUAGCCAUUCCGAGAAAUAUUGCCAUGCAACUUUCCACCGUUCUGUUUAUUAUGACACGCUCCAUCAUUGUCAUAUUGCUUUGCAUGAUCAUGUAGUUGACAUUGUAUUAAUGGCAAAGCCACCGUUCAUAAUUCUUUCAUACAUGUCACUCUUGAUUCAUUGCACAUCCCGAUAUACCGCGUAGGCAUUCAUAUAGAGUCAUAUUUUGUUCUAAGUAUCGAGUUGUAAGUAAAUAAAAGUGUGAUGAUUUUAAUUAUUAGAGCAUUGUCCCAUGUGAGGAAAGGAUGGUGGAAAAUUUGAGAGAAGGCCCAAAUAAAAAAAUGAGAGAAAGGAGAGAAGGGGCAAUGCUACUAUCCUUUUACCACACUUGUGCUCCAAAGUAGCACCAUGAUCUUCAUGAUAGAGAGUCUCCUAUAUUGUCAUUUUCAUAUACUAGUGGGAAUUUUUCAUUAUAGAACUUGGCUUGUAUAUUCCAAUGAUGGGCUUCCUCAAAUUGCCCUAGGUCUUCGUGAGCAAGCAAGUUGGAUGCACACCCACUUAGUUUCUUUUUGAGCUUUCAUAAACUUAUAGCUCUAGUGCAUCCGUUGCCUGACAAUCCCUACUCACUCACAUUGAUAUCUAUUGAUGGGCAUCUCCGUAGCCCGUUGAUAGGCCUAGUUGAUGUGAGACUAUCUCCUCCUUUUUCUCUUCUCCACAACCACCGUCUAUUCCACCUAUAGUGCUAUGUCCAUGGCUCACGCUCAUGUAUUGCGUGAAAGUUGAAAAAGUUUGAGAACAUCAAAAGUAUGAAACAAUUGCUUGGCUUUUCAUCGGGGUUGUGUAUGAUUUAAGUAUUUUGUGUGAUGAAGAUGGAGUAUAGCCAGACUAUAUGAUUUUGUAGGGAUAAGCUUUCUUUCGCCAUGUUAUUUUGAUAAGACAUAAUUGCCUUGUUAGUAUGCUUGAAGUAUUAUUGUUUUUAUGUCAAUAUUAAACUUUUGUUUCGAAUCAUACGGAUCUGAACAUUCAUGCCACAAUAAAGAAAAUUACAUGGAUAAAUAUGUUAGGUAGCAUUCCACAUCAAAAAUUCUGUUUUUAUCAUUUACCUACUCGAUGACGAGCAGGAAUUAAGCUUGGGGAUGCUUGAUACGUCUCCAACAUAUCUAUAAUUUUUUAUUGUUCCAUGCUAUUAUAUUAUCUGUUUUGGAUAUUUUAUAUGCAUUAAUAUGCUAUUUUAUAUUAUUUUUUGGACUAACCUAUUAACCUAGAGCCGAGUGCCAGUUUCUGUUUUUUUCCUUGUCUUAGAGUUCCGCAGAAAAGGAAUGCCAAACGGAGUCCAAAUGGAAUAAAACUUCCGCAAUGAUUUUUCUUGGACCAGAAGACAUCCAAAGGACUUGGAGUGCAAGUCAGAGAAGCCACGAGGCGGCCACAAGGAAGGAGGGCACGCCUCCCACCCUUGUGGGCCCCUCGUGACUCCACCGACCUAGUUUCUUCACCUUUAUAUUCCCAUAUAUCCCGAAACCAACAGAGAGAGCCACGAAAACACUUCUCCACUGCCGCAACCUUCUGUACCUGUGAGAUCCCAUCUAGGGGCCUUUGCCGCCGUCCUGCCGGAGGGGGAUUUGAUCACGCAGGGCUUCUACAUCAACACCAUUGCCCUUCCGAUGAAGAGUGGGUAGUUUACCACAGACCUACGGGUCCAUAGCUAGUAGCUAGAUGGCUUCUUCUCUCUCUUUGAUUCUCAAUACCAUGUUCUCCUCAAUGUUCUUGGAUAUCUAUUCGAUGUAAUACCUUUUUACGGUGUGUUUGCCGAGAUCUGAUGAAUUGUGGAUUUAUGAUCAGCUUAUCUCUGAAUAUUAUUUGAAUCCUCUCUGAAUUCGUAUAUGCAUGAUUUGAUAUCUUUGCAAGUCUCUUUGAACUAUCGAUUUGGUUUGGCCAACUAGAUUGGUUUUUCUUGCAAUGGGAGAAGUGCUUAGCUUUGGGUUCAAUCUUGCGGUGUCCUUUCCCAGUGAAAGUAGGGGUAGCAAGGCACGUAUUGUAUUGUUGCCAUCGACGAUAAAAAUAUGGGGUUUUCGUCAUAUAGCUUGUGUUAAUUCAUCUACAUCAUGUCAUCUUGCUUAAUGCAUUACUCCAUUCUUUAUGAACUUAAUGAAGGAAAUAUGCCCUAGAGGCAAUAAUAAAGUUGUUAUUUAUAUUUCCUUAUAUCAUGAUAAAUGUUUAUUAUUCAUGCUAGAAUUGUAUUAACUGGAAACUUAGUACAUGUGUGAAUACAUAGACAAACAGAGUGUCACUAGUAUGCCUCUACUUGACUAGCUCGUUAACCAAAGAUGGUUAAGUUUGCUAGCCAUAGACAUGAGUUGUCAUUUGAUGAACGGGAUCACAUCAUUAGAGAAUGAUGUGAUUGACAAGACCCAUCUGUUAGCUUAGCACUAUGAUCGUUUAGUUUGUUGCUAUUGCUUUCUUCAUGCCGUAUACAUGUUCCUAUGACUAUGAGAUUAUGCAACUCCCGAAUACCGGAGGAACACUUAGUGUGCUAUCAAACGUCACAACGUAACUGGGUGAUUAUAAAGAUGCUCUACAGGUGUCUCCUAUGGUGUUUAUUGAGUUGGCAUAGAUUGAGAUUAGGAUUUGUCACUCCAAUUGUCGGAGAGGUAUCCCUGGGCUCUCUCGGUAAUGCACAUCACUAUAAGCCUUGCAAGCAAUGUGACUAAUGAGUUAGUUGGGGGAUGAUGCACUACGGAACGAGUAAAGAGACUUGCCGGCAACGAGAUUGAACUAGGUAUGAUGAUACCGAUGAUCGAAUCUCGGGCAAGUAACAUACCGAUGACAAAGGGAACAACGUAUGUUGUUAUGCGGUUUGACCGAUAAAGAUCUUCGUAGAAUAUGUAGGAACCAAUAUGAGCAUCCAGGUUCCGCUAUUGGUUAUUGACCGGAGAUGAGUCUCGGUCAUGUCUACAUAGUUCUCGAACCCGUAGGGUCCACACGCUUAACGUUCGAUGAUGAUAUGUAUUGUGAGUUAUGUGAUUUGAUGCACCGAAGAUAGUUUGGAGUCCCGGAUGUGAUCACGGACAUGACGAGGAGUCUCGAAAUGGUCGAGACAUGAAGAUUAAUAUAUUGGAAGGUUAUGUUUGAACACAGGAAAGGUUUCGGAUAGGUUCGGGCAUUUUCCGGAGUACCGGGGGUUACCGGAACCCCCCGGGGGUUAAUGGGCCUUCAUGGGCCUUAGUGGAAGAGAGGAGGAGGCGGCCAGGUGGAGGCGCCCCCCCCCCCAAGACCAAUCCGAAUUGGGGAGGGGGGCCGGCCCCCCUUUCCUUCUCUCCCUCUUCCUCUUCCUUCCCCUCCUAGUUGGACUAGGAAAGGGGGGAACCUACUUCUAGUAGGAGUAGGAUUCCCCCUUGGGGCGCACCCCAUGAGGCCGGUCGGCCCCCUCCUCCACUCCUUUAUAUACGGGGGAGGGGGGCACCCCAUAGACAGACAAGUUGAUUUCUUAGCCGUGUGCGGUGCCCCCCUCCACAGAUUUCCACCUCGGUCAUAUUGUCGUAGUGCUUAGGCGAAGCCCUGCGCUGGUAACUUCAUCAUCACCGUCACCACGGUGUCGUGCUGACAAAACUCUCCCUCAGCCUCAGCUAGAUCUAGAGUUCGAGGGACGUCACUGAGCUGAACAUGUGCAGAUCGCGGAGGUGCCGUGCGUGGUACUUGAUCGGUUGGAUCGCGAAGACGUUCGACUACAUCAACCGCGUUACUUAACGCUUCCCCUUUCGGUCUAUGAGGGUACGUGGACACACUCUCAACGCUCAUUGCUAUGCUUCUCCUACAUAGAUCCUGCGUGAUCGUAGGAAAAUUUUGAAAUACUAUGUUUGAAGGAAAUAUGCCCUAGAGGCAAUAAUAAAGUUGUUAUUUAUAUUUCCUUAUAUCAUGAUAAAUUUUUAUUAUUCAUGCUAGAGUUGUAUUAACCGGAAACAUGAUACAUGUGUGAAUACAUAGACAAACAUAGUGUCCCUAGUAUGCCUCUACUAGACUAGCUCGUUAAUCAAAGUGGUUAAGUUUCCUGACCAUAGACAUGUGUUGUCAUUUGAUGAACGGGGUCACAUCAUUAGAGAAUGAUGUGAUGGACAAGACCCAUCCGUUAGCUUAGCAUUAUGGUCAUUGAGUUUUAUUGCUAUUGCUUUCUUCAUGACUUUUACAUGUUCCUCUGACUAUGAGAUUAUGCAACUCCCGAAUACCGGAGAAACACCUUGUGUGCUAUCAAACGUCACAACGUAACUGGGUGAUUAUAAAGAUGCUCUAAAGGUGUCUCCGAAGGAGUUUGUUGGGUUGGCAUAGAUCAAGAUUAGGAUUUGUCACUCCGAGUAUCGGAGAGGUAUCUCUGGGCCCUCUCAGUAAUGCACAUCACUAUAAGCCUUGCAAGCAAUGUGACUAAUGAGUAGUUGCAGGCUGGUGCAUUACGGAACGAGUAAAGAGACUUGUCGGUAACGAGAUUGAACUAGGUAUGGUGAUACCGAUGAUCGAAUCUCGGGCAAGUAACAUACCGAUGAAAAGGGGAACAACGUAUGUUGUUAUGCGGUUUGACCGAUAAAGAUCUUCGUAGAAUAUGUAGGAGCCAAUAUGAGCAUCCAGGUUCCGCUAUUGGUUAUUGACCGGAGAUGUGUCUCGGUCAUUGUCAUGGACUUGUCACGUCAGAUGUCCUAGUGUGAGGACUUAGUCGUGGAGCCAUCGCAACGAAGUUAACUUAAAGGGGUUAAACGAGACAAAGGACACUGGGAGUUAUACUGGUUCGGCCCCUUGCGGUGAAGGUAAAGGCCUAAUCCAGUUUGUGGUGGUAUUGCUAGGGUUUCGAUGACCAGGGAGCGAAUACGCUUAUCCUGGCUCUCGAUCUGUUGUUUCUUGUCCCUAAACCGCCGCAGGGUCGUCCCUUUAUAUACACAGGUUGACGCCUUGCGGUUCACAGAAUCCCGGCAGGCUCAUAAACGUGUCCGGCUCAGUAUCUACUCUUUCUUAUUUUACAAUACAAGUCAUACACCUAUGGCGGUUUACAUCUAUGGGCCCUAACCCGCCUCUGGGCUUUGGGCCUUCUUAUUAAGUCUCCUUCAUAAUUCGCCAUCUUCUAUGUCUUCAUGGGUUUUAAUACUGGUAAAUCAUCAUGAGUAUAAUCCGGCCCCUCCUGGGCGGUUUAUACUCAAUAAUUAUAUCCCCAACAUUAGGCCCCGGGUUGAUUUGACCUUGUUCACAUCAAUCUUCAAUACUUAGAAAAAAUCCCUCCUUCAUUACCUUCGCGAAACUUAUAACUCGUCAUGACGUCAUCUUCUGGAAUCAUAAUAACCCGUCGUGACGUCACCUACCAUUAAUUUUACACAGAGCCAAAAUCUUUUAAUGUAUCUCCUUAUCUUUAAUGAAUCUCCAAAAAUCGAGGCGUCUGCACGUUUACAGAUCCGUUUUUUGACCUCCUCGAUUCCCGUGCUUGCCACUUAUCCAUUCGCCUUAUAAAUAGGACCGGGGGUCNNNNNNNNNNNNNNNNNNNNNNNNNNNNNNNNNNNNNNNNNNNNNNNNNNNNNNNNNNNNNNNNNNNNNNNNNNNNNNNNNNNNNNNNNNNNNNNNNNNNNNNNNNNNNNNNNNNNNNNNNNNNNNNNNNNNNNNNNNNNNNNNNNNNNNNNNNNNNNNNNNNNNNNNNNNNNNNNNNNNNNNNNNNNNNNNNNNNNNNNNNNNNNNNNNNNNNNNNNNNNNNNNNNNNNNNNNNNNNNNNNNNNNNNNNNNNNNNNNNNNNNNNNNNNNNNNNNNNNNNNNNNNNNNNNNNNNNNNNNNNNNNNNNNNNNUUCACUUCUGCUUCAACGUUGGCCGCUGCAUCAACCUGAUUGGUCCAGAUCUCACUCGCGCGCCUCCGCUGCUCCAGCAGCCUCGGUAAGUUUUUCCUCCUUCCCUCUCCAUAGAUCCCAUUAGCGUUUGUUCGAGCUCAUGGAAGUUUAGCACUGUUCUUCCCUUGUUCUUCGCUGUAACAUGAACUCUUGAUCCAAACUUGAUAUUUCCUUGUGCGGCAAUAGCCAUAGUCCUUCUUUCCUUAUCAGACAUCUCUUUUUAAGUAGAAAAUCCAAUCUGGAACUUCAUAAACUGUUCAAGUACCAAUAUUUAGGUCUGAAUAUAUUUUCAUUUUCUGACAUGCGGUAGAUCCAAAAUUGUGAUAUCCAUCUGUGAAAACUGUUUUUCAUCACUUAGUCAUUUUCCAACUUUAGAUCUAUACUUUCAAUAUCUGUGUAGGCAGUUUAACUCAGAAAAUAAUAACCCGCCAGGUACCAUUAGUCCCCUCUUAAACCGCCAAUUGCUCAUCUCUGCAACUUGAUAACGCCAAUCACCGGUUUAGCACUUUUGCAUGCUUCAACACUUUCUGCCUUUUAAUCUUUAACGGAUUAACCAUGAAUCUUAAACCGGCAUAAACCUUCUUCCAAGUGAUUGAAUAAAUGGCCAAGUCCUUUUAUUCCUGGAACUGGGUUCAAUCCCGGGUUACAGAAGAAAAACUGAACGGGUGUGUUGCUACUAGCGCUUUAGCCAAAAAGGAAGUCAUCCACUGGAGAGUCCCUGGUCCUGAAAAUCCCCUUGAGCCCAAGGAAGGGGAAGUGAUCGUUUUUGUUGACCAUCUGAGUCGAGGAUUCAGCCCUCCCGGAUCAAAAAAAUCCAUGAAGUGCUUCAUUUCCUCCAACUUCACCCUCAAGAUAUUGGACCUAACUCUGUAUCCAAUAUUUGCAAUUUUCAAGUGUUCUGUGAAGCUUACCUGCAAGAGGAACCCACGGUCGAACUGUUCAGAGAUUUCUACUAUUUAAACUGCCGCACAGAAUUUGUGGACGGGCCCAAUACUGAACUUGGCGGGGUGUCCAUCCAAAAGAGAAAAGAUGUCAGCUUCCCUCACGCUAACCAUCCUAGCCAUCCCAAAGACUAGAAUCAAACUUGGUUCUAUUGCCGAGAUACAUCUCCAGCUGAUGAGAAUCCUCUGUCGGGUUAUCGUGCUCACCGGCUUAGCAGUACACAUCCACUCCCCCAAAGACUCAGCGCAAAGGAAUAGGCCAAGUAUGCACCACGGCUUUCAAAGCUCAGAGCCUUUGUGCAAACGGCCUAACAGGCUUUGAUUUCGUCCGUUGCUGGGUGUCUUGGAGCAUUUUACCCUUAAGCCGUCGCCCCGGUUUAAUGUGUGAAUACAUAGGGGACGUGAAAGAUCCUCAACGCCACAUUGAUAUUCAGCUGACUAACGCUGAAGUUACUGAAGCUGUCAAGAAAAUGUUGGAUAUACCGGUGGCUGAGUGCAGCAAAACAGGGCUUAGUCCUUUCUGCGCUUCAAAUAAACUGCCAGCUGUAAGAAUUGCCCAACUCUUGCUUAAUCCAUAUUAUUAAUACUCCCUUAUGAUCUUUUCAACUUUUAACAGGGUGAUGAUCCAUUAUGGAAGAGGAAACCGCAAUAUAAACCGGCCAAGACAGCUCGUCCCAAGACCAAGGUCCACAAGAAGCUCGCCAAGAAGAAAACCGUCGAGUCUACCGAGUUAAACAUUGAUGAUGCCAAUGAUAACCCGGAGUUAGAGGUAGAACUUGAUUCACUUGGCUCCUUUUUCAUACACCUCAUUGGCAAUGAUUGUUAUCAGGACGACGCGGAAGCCAGCCGUGCAAGUGACGCAGAGGUAAUUAUUCUCUCAUCCGGCUCAGAACCUCUGCCCACACAGAAAACCCGACAAGCAAACCGGAAAGUAAGAUUUUCUCACCCUCUAGCUCACUUGGAUCCAAACUAUCUUUUGAAGAAACAGCAACACAAAGCUCGCCACACAACCCAGCAUAGUGGCCAUGUGGUAACUUCUUUCGGUUUACCGAACACGCCGGUUCGUAAACGCCGCCCAGAGGUCUCUUAUACUUCUGACACAUGUCAUCCUAAGGCGGGUUAUUUCCGACAACCUCUUAAUCCGUCUGAUUCAAAUUAUCAGGGAACUUCCCAUUCUUCCUCUGGCGAGUCAACAGGAACACAAAUUCCAACCCUCAAAACUGUUCCUGGGUGAGCACAUUUAAUUGACCCUUCAUACCUUAUGCUUGAUCAUUAUACUAACCUGUUUCUUGCAUCUUAUUUUCAGAGCCAAGGCCAGACCCAGCAAGAAGGCCAAACUGAAUAAUCCAGUUAAUGAUUCCAAUCCAUCUGGACCAGAAUGGACCCCGGAACCUUCUAAUCCAAAUACUGAAGCUAUUCUUGAUGAUCCGCCACCGCAAGAUCAUGAAAUUGAAGUUGAACAUAUGGAAGCCGAUCCGAUGAUUCAUGCUGAUAAACCGCCAAGCCCAACUAAAGUUGUUGUGACAACACUGACGAUGUUAUGGUCACUGGUGCUAGUUACACUGCCCCAGGCAACCCCACUGCUCUGUCAAAACAUAGUGCCAAAGAAGAAUUUUCUGCUGUUGACAAAGGCAAGUGGAAGGCAGACUUGGAAAGCUAUGCCCACCUCAGCGCCCAAGACAUUCAUUCUGGGUUUUUAAACCGUUUGUACACAAGCCGCGACUAUGAAGCCGGUUUACUGAACAUGAUGGAGCGAUAUGAGGUAAAUGUUGUUAACUCUGCAUAAAUAUUCUUCCCUUCGCUGCCAAGUUUAUUGAACAUAAUAGAAUAGAAUGUUCUGUAGACUUCCUAGAACCAUAUAGAUCAUCUCCAGUACCGUCAAUAUGAACCGGGACUUAUAGAAUAACAACUCUUCAAUUUUGCCUGUGUAGCCCCCAAGGGCCGGUUUAUGCUUUCAAGAUGAACGGAUCUUUGGAAUAACAACUCUUCAAUUUUCCCUUUGUAAAUCGGCUAACCACCAAGCUGAUAGUGGAAGAAAAAUCCAUAGUUUUAACUGGAGCAAAUAUGCAUUAGCCCCCAAGUGCCAAGAAUAAUGCCUGUACUGAGCUUGGGACUUGUAAAAAAUUUGAUAAGAAGCAAUAGACAUUAGCCCCCAAGUGCCAAGAAUAAUACUUGUUAUGUGCUUGGGACUUGAAAUAUGCCAUGUCAUCUCAUAAGAUGCUUGUCUCUUGCAGGCUGAGCUUAGCAAAAAGGAAUCCCAAAUCGUCGACCUUCAAGAAAAUAUCAAAUCGCAACAAGCAGAGACUUCCAAGGCCAAGGAUGAACUAACCAGUGCCUUAGCAGCAAUGGAAAAACUGAAGGAAAGCUUCAAAAACAAGCGGGCAGGUUGGGAUACAGAAAAGUCAACUCUGCUAAAGAGGGAUGAAGAUGCUGAAGCGGCCCUUAAUCCGGUGGCGGAGGAGCUGACUGGCUUGAAACAGCAAAUAAAUGCCAUGACUGCUGCCAUUUUUGGUAAAUAGCUUCUUCAUAAGCUUUAAACAUGUAUAAUCUAAUACACUACCGGUUUACAGACGUUUUUGAUGAUGCAGGAUCCCGCAUUACUCAUCUUGGCUCGGAUAUGCGGAAAAAUCUGAAAGCUGUCUAUACACUUGUAGAGCAAUUAUAUACCGACGUACAACGGGUCAUGUGCAUAGCUUCCCAUAAUAAGCCACCCCCAACUUUGAUCAAGGAGACAUUGGAAAGGCUGCCUAUGAUGCCUGCCCGGUUUGAAGAACUAAAGAAAUCAGCUGCAAGGGCAGGUCCUCUUACCGCACUAACUCGGGCCAAAGCAUGGAUAUCUGAUCUUGAUCCGACUGACUUGGCGAACGGCUACCCAAGCAUAAAGGAGGACGGGUCAGACUUUAAUACGGAUGACCUCGGAGCCAUUACGAGGGAAAUGCGCCCACUGGCUAGUAAAUUGGCUGAUGAGACUGAUCUUUCAUUUUAUCAGUCGGUUUAUGAUGCCAACAAUAAGAGAGUUAAAGCGCCAACUUAUGAUACUCCAAGCCUUACUCCUCCAAUCCGUAAGCACACUUAUGCCCCUGAUGUUGACCCCUCCCCACCUAUAAGUGAUGAAGCUGUAUUCAAAGCCUUAACUGGGAUUGAUUGGACAACCAUUGACUUCCAGCCACUGGGUAGAGAAGAUGAAGAUGAACCGGCGUUGGAUGAUCCACAACCGUCAAGUCCACCAGGCCAAGAUUCAUGAACCGGAGGCUGGCUGAGCCUCUGCUCUCUGCAAGAUUUGUUAAAAAAAUUAUUCUUUUGGGCAUCACACGCCUUUUAAUAGGCUAGUUUAAACUCUUGAUUUGUUAUGCCAUCGCGCAUAUUUGCUCUUGCAUGACACUGCUGAUCCGCCAUGUUAAGAUAUGCCACAUAUGCUUAUGAUAUGAGCAAUUUGAAUCUGUUUCUGCAUUCAACAGUGUAAAAAGUGUCCUGGCGGUUUACCGCUGGACUCGUUAUAAUACCCAAUAUAAAGCUAUGGGGAAUUAAUCAUAGUUUAUAACCAAAGCUGGACUUAAGGACAACCAUAUAUAAUUGAGAAUAUAUCAUACCUGUGAUAUUUGAUCACACUGUUGGUUUACCAAGCCAGUGUAAUAAGGGUGAUAACCCAAAAUUUGAGCACUGAUAAUUAUAUAUUGCCGGUUAUGAACAAAACCAGGCCGGGUUAAUCAACACAGGAUAUUAUCUUAUCUCAUACUGGCGACUUAUAGUCAAAAACCAGGCCAGGUCAAUAAACACCGGAUAUUAUUUUAUCGCAUACUGGCGAUUUAUAGUCAAAAGCCAGGGCGGGUUAAUAAACACCGGUGAAUUAUAAUCAUAAAGCAUUAUAAGCCUCAUCAAAUAAACCUCAAAAGAUCUGUCGAAUAAAAACAAACGAAAAACGAGGCUUUUCAUGGGCUGCCAGGCCGAAAAUCGAGUGCUUUCACGGGCCGCACAGCCACUGAGUUAAACCUAUAUACAAACCUUAUAAGAUGGACCUCACAUAACCAAUCACCGUUUUAACUUUGACAAGUUCAGGGUCUGUAUAAGAUUGACUUGUCAAAUGUACGGCGGGUCAUUCCAGGAUUACCUGGGCGGAGUGGCUUACUUAAAAAGGCAGGAUAACUCGGGGUUUUAGGUGAGUACACCUGGCUUCCAAGCCUGGCUUUUAAGCCUAUUACAAGGGUUAUAAAAACUCUUUGUUCUUUAGAACAAGGAGCCCCCAAGCAAUAUUUUUGAGUUGUGCUCAAGGGCCACCUAUGUUUGAGAUGUGCUUUUGCAACAGACUCUCUUUGGUCCCUUUAACCUGGGUAGCAAGCCCCCAAGUUUUUUUUCAGUGUCUUAUAAGCCGGUUCAAAGGGUAAUCAUAACUUCGCCCAUAAGCCGGAAGCCCCCAAGUAACCAAAGACUAAUUAAGGAAAAACGAUAGAGGCCCUGCUUUAGCAGGGAUGCCGGUUUAUUAUAUUGAUCAUAAUAUAUACAUUGUCAAAAAUAUGUACAUCAGAAGAGCCAUUGGCUCAAGUGUAGUAAGGCCGAAGAUGAGCAAUAUUCCACGGCCGGUGGGUCUCCUCCUCCGAUUUAUGUGAGUCUUUGUGCUCUCGAACAUCGAUAAGGUAGUAUGACCCAUUGUUGAGAUUCUUACUGACCACAAAGGGUCCUUCCCAAGGUGGGGACAACUUGUGCAUAUCAGUCUGAUCCUGAAUAAGCCGGAGCACCAAAUCGCCUUCUUGGCUGAUAAAUCGCCGAACAAGCCGCUGCGAUGUCACGCUCCUCAUCCAACAGGUCAAGUGCUUCCUAACGUGCUUUUUUGUUGUCCGCUUCAACAUAAGCCGCUACCCGAGGUGAGUCAUGACGGAUGUCACUAGGGAGAACUGCCUCUGCUCCAUAAACCAUGAAGAAAGGCGUGUAACCCGUAGAUCUAUUGGGGGUGGUAUUAAUGCUCCAUAACACGGAAGGUAACUCCUCCACCCAACAACCCGGCGUCCUCUGUAAGGGAACCAUAAGCCGGGGCUUGAUGCCUCUCAGGAUCUCUUGAUUGGCUCUCUCAGCUUGACCAUUAGAUUGGGGGUGAGCCACUGACGACACAUCAAGCCGGAUAUGCUCACGUUGACAAAAUUCUUUCAUAGCACCCUUGGAGAGGUUAGUGCCAUUGUCUAUUAUAAUGCUGUGUGGAAAGCCAAAACGGAAGAUCACCUUCUUCAUUAAUUGAACCGUCGUUGCUGCAUCACACUUACUGACCGGCUCUGCCUCUACCCACUUAGUGAACUUAUCAACCGCCACCAAAAGGUGGGUCUUCUUAUCUUUGGACCUCUUAAAAGGUCCAACCAUAUCAAGCCCCCAAACUGCAAACGGCCAAGUAAUUGGAAUCAUCCUCAAUUCUUGAGCCGGUACAUGGGCUCGUCGUGAAAAUUUCUAACAUCCGUCGCAUUUACUGACCAGAUCCUCAGCAUCAGCAUGAGCCGUCAGCCAAUAAAAUCCAUGAUGAAAAGCCUUGGCCACAAGAGACUUAGAGCCAGCAUGGUGGCCACAAUCUCCUUCAUGAAUCUCGCGCAGAAUCUCACAACCUUCUUCAGGUGAAACACAACGUUGAAACGCCCCUGUGACACUGCGAUGAUGUAGCUCCUCGUUGACAAUAGUCAUUGACUUGGACCGCCGGGUUAUUUGCCUGGCCAAAGUUUCAUCCUCCGGUAACUCGCCCCGGGUCAUAUAAGCCAAAUAUGGAACCGUCCAAUCAGGGAUUACAUGAAGAGCUGCCACCAACUGAGCUUCCGGGUCAGGAAUAGCCAAAUCCUCCUCUGUAGGCAACUUGACCGACGGGUUAUGCAAAACGUCAAGAAAGACAUUAGGCGGCACCGGUUUACAUUGAGAACCCAACCGGCUUAAGGCAUCCGCCGCUUCAUUUUUUCGCCGAUCAACAUGCUCAACCUGAUAACCCUUGAAGUGACCAGCAAUAACAUCCACCUCUCGUCGAUAAGCCGCCAUGAGUGGAUCCUUGGAAUCCCAAGUACCAGAGACUUGUUGAGCCACCAAGUCUGAGUCGACAAAACACCUUACCCGGCUUAAGUUCAUCUCCUUAGCCAUCCGAAGACCGUGGAGCAAGGCCUCAUAUUCAGCUGCAUUGUUAGUGCAAGGGAACAUCAAACGGAGAACAUAACAAAAUUUAUCACCUCGAGGGAAAGCGAGCAAACUCCAGCCCCCGAGCCCUCCAAUUGUCUGGACCCAUCAAAGUGAAUAGUCCAAUACGUGUUAUCUGGCUUUUCCUCAGGCAUCUGCAGCUUUGUCCAGUCAUUGAUGAAAUCCACCAGUGCCUGAGACUUGAUGGUCGUGCGAGGCAUAUAUUUCAAACGAUGAGGACCAAGCUCAAUGGCCCACUUGGCUAUCCGACCUGUGGCUUCUCUGUUCUAAAUAAUAUCCCCUAAAGGAGCAAAACUAACCACAGUGAUGGGAUGACCCAAAAAAUAUUGCUUGAGCUUCCGACUGGCCAUGAACACCCCAUAUACAAGUUUCUGCCAGUGCGGAUAUCUCUGCUUGGACUCAAUAAGCACCUCGCUGAUGUAGUAAACCGGCCUUUGAAACGGAUAUUCCUUGCCUGCCUCCUUUCGUUCCACCACAAUAGCCACACUGACAGCCCCGGCACUAGCAGCUACGUACAACAAUAAUGGCUCUUUAUCGACAGGAGCAGCCAGAACAGGUGGUUCAGCCAGCUGCUUCUUCAAGUCCUCAAACGCUGCAUUAGCGGCAUCACUCCAAACAAAAUUAUCUGUCUUUUUCAUCAUCUCAUACAGAGGGAUCGCCUUCUCUCCCAACCGGCUUAUGAACCGGCUUAACGCCGCAAUACGACCCGCCAGACGUUGUACAUCAUUGACACACGCCGGUUUAGCCAGAGAAGUGAUGGCUUUGAUCUUUUCCGGAUUAGCUUCAAUGCCCCUGUUAGACACUAGAAAGCCUAAGAGCUUGCCUGCCGGUACACCAAAGACACACUUGGCCGGGUUAAGCAUCAUCUUAUAAACCCGGAGAUUAUCAAAGGUUUCCUUCAAAUCGUCUAUCAACAUCUCCUUCUUUCUAGAUUUUACCACAAUAUCAUCAACAUAAGCAUGAACAUUGCGCCCAAUCUGAUUAUGAAGGCAAUUCUGCACACAUCGCUGGUAAGUCGCCUAAGCACUCUUGAGCCCAAAAGGCAUAGACACAUAGCAGAAGGCGCAGAAGGGAGUUAUAAAAGCUGUCUUCUCCUGGUCCUUAACUGCCAUCUUGAUCUGAUGAUAACCAAAAUAAGCAUCCAAAAAACUCAAAUGCUCACAACACGCCGUAGCAUCGAUAAUCUGAUCAAUACGAGGGAGAGCACAAGGAUCAGCCGGACAAGCCUUGUUUAAAUCCGUGUAGUCCACACACAUACGCCAAGUGCCAUUCUUCUUAAGUACCAGCACCGGGUUAGCCAACCACUCAGGAUGAAAAACCUCAACAAUAGACCCAGCCGCCAAGAGUCAGGCUACCUCCUCACCAAUGGCCUUACGUCUUUCUUCAUUAAAGCGAUGAAGAAACUGCUUGACCGGUUUAAACUUGGGAUCAAUAUUAAGAGUGUGCUCAGCGAGUUCCCUCGGUACACCCGGCAUGUCAGAAGGUUUCCAUGCAAAGAUGUCCCGGUUCUCACGGAUGAACUCGAUGAGCGCGCUUUCCUAUUUCGGAUCCAGAUUAGCACUGAUGAUGAACUGCUUGGAUGAAUCGCCAGGAACGAAAUCAACCAUCUUGGUAUCAUCUGCCGACUUGAACUUCAGGCCCGGUCAUGCUCUGCAGUUGGCUUUUUCAAAGAUGUCACAUCCGCCGGAUCAACAUUGUCCUUAUAAAAUUUUAACUCCUCCGUUGCACAAACCGACUUAGCAUAAGCCGCAUCACCUUCUUCGCAUUCCAAAGCUAUCUUUCGGCUCCCAUGCACUGUGAUGGUCCCUUUGUAACCCGGCAUCUUGAGCUGUAGAUAAACAUAACAAGGCCUGGCCAUGAACUUAGCAUAAGCCGGCUGUCCAAACAGAGCGUGAUACGGGCUGUGAAUCUUGACUACUUCAAAGGUCAAUGUCUCUGACCUAGAGUCAUGCUCAUCUCCAAAAGCAACUUCCAGAGCUAUCUUACCAAGUGGGUAUGCCGACUUAUCAGGCACCACGCCAUGGAAAACACUGUUCGACGGUUUAAGAUUUUUAUCUGUCAACCCCAUGCAACGGAAGGUUUCAUAAUAAAGGUUAUUGAUGUUGCUCCCUCCGUCCAUGAGUACCUUGGUGAACUUAUAUCCUCCGACCUGAGGUGCGACUACUAAAGCCAAGUGACCCGGAUUAUCAACCCGGGGCGGGUGAUCUUCCCGACUCCACACAACGGGCUGCUCAGACCAGCGCAAGUAAUGGGGAACUGCCGGUUCAACAGCGUUCACCGCCCUCUUAUGAAGCUUCUGAUCCCCAUUUGCAUAAAAUUGUGGUGAAGACGUGGUACUGCCCGCUAUUCAACUGCUUCGGGUUACUUUGAUACCCAGAUUGCUGCUGUUGACUCCCCUGAUUACUCUGCUGAUUCUAACCACCCUGGUUGCCGUGAUUGCCUUGAUUUUCUUGGAAUCCAGAGCUAGAACCACCACCGACAUAACCCGGUCCAUGAGAGCCGGAUCCUGAGCCGCCACCUGGCCCAUGACUGUCUUGAAAAAGAUUGGAAUUCUUGUACUCCUUCAUAAUGUAACAAUCCUUCCAGAGGUGCCCGGACGGUCUUUCUCGCGUACCAUGUCUUGGGCACGGCUGAUUUAGCAUCUGUUCAAGAUUAAAGCCCGAUCCUCCGGUCCGUGGGGGCGGUUUACCCUUACGAUCCUGACCAUUAUUCUGCAUAUUGGUGUUAGCCACAAAGUCCAAACUAUUAUCAGCCUUAUGUUUACCAUUGCCUCCCUGAUUCGCCGGAUUAUGAUGCUGCCCUCUGGUACUGCUGCUCUUCUUUCCCUUUCCCGGUUUUUCAUCAUCAGACUCGGGGUCCUUGGUACCAUCAGAGUCAGCGUAUUUAACCAGAGCCGCCAUGAGUGUCCCCAUGUCAUUGCAGUGGCAUUUGAGCCGUCCCAAUUUCUGCUUCAGGGGCGUGAAACGACAAUUGCUUUCCAACAUUAAGACUGCUGAAUCGGCAUUGAUGCAAUCCGACGAGUGAGGAUUGUUGAGACCCGGCGCACCCAAUGAGUCGUCGAUUCACCUUCUUCUUGGACACAGGCGGCUAAAUCCACAAUUGACAUGGGCUGCUUGCAUGUGUCUUUAAAAUUCUGGAUAAACCGGGCCUUUAACUCGGCCCAUGACCCAAUGGAGUUGGCAGGGAGCCCCUUCAACCAAGUGUGGGUCGUCCCCUCCAACAUCAGGGGGAAAUAUUUAGCACACGCAGCAUCGCUAACAUCCAGCAAUUCCAUGGCCAUCUCAUAACUCUCGAUCCAUGCCUCAGGAGGUAAGUCGGCUGUGUAGUUAGGGACCUUGCGAGGACCUUUGAAAUCCUUGGGCAGACGCUCGUUACGUAGAGCGAGCACUAAACAUGGCACGCCCAAAUUCCUAAAGGUUACACCUGCCUCCACCGAAGUUGUUGGACAAACCGGAGUAGGUUGGCAGGCUGCAUACUGUGCUGCUAGUUCGGCCUCUCGACGUGCUCUACCUUGAUCCACUACGUUCUGAGCAUCAGCACCACCGCCCGCCGGGUUAUGUCCACGGGGCGGGUUAUGGUUCCGUCCACUGCUUGACACAGCCGGCUCAUCGAUAUGCCUGCUGUAACUCCGGCUCGGGCGAGGGGUGGAAUGAAUCAUGUCACUACUGUGAGAGUAAGCCUGCUGCUGAACCAAAGCUGUCUGAAGGAGCUCUCUAGCCCUCCGUGUUUCAACUGUCGUCGGAGACUCGCCCUCAACCGGGAGAGCUGCGAACCGUGACGCCGCAGCGAUCAUGUUAUCCAAAGGGUUAGAGUACUGACCCGGUGGCGUCGGCACGUGCUGAGGCGGGUUAUUGUUCUGACGAGGCAGGUCCGUCGCGCGUGGCUGAACUGGCGUACCCGUCCCAGGUGCUUCGACCCGGUUUACCACUGUCGGGUUACUGGUUCCUGCUCCUGGCGUGUUAAAGAGGUUUCUUGCCUCGUAAACCGGGGGCAGGCGAGUCUGAUGCCUCCUCCUCAUGACUUCGUUUGAGGCGUUCUGAUCCAGCAUGAGCCGGUAAGACUCCGACUGAAUCCGCUGUGCCUGAGCAUCCAAAGCCUCCCGCUCCUCGGCCAUCCUCGUGUUUUCUGUGUUCAGCUCCUCCUUUGCCAGUGCUAUCUCAUCACGCAAUUUUGUGACCGCCGCAUUAUGCUGAUCCUGAUCCGCCGGGUUGACCACUGUUGUCAACAACGCUGUCAGCUUAUCCAGCAAGUCAGUUAAGACCUGAGCCGGCGGGCGCACAGGGCCCCUGCCCCCGCAGCCAUUGCCGCUGCUGACCCGGAAAUCAGCUCUGCUGCAGUCGACGAGUGCUGCACGGGCUGUGUACCGGCCAUGAAGAUUGCAACCCGGUUCGGCGGCUCGCAGGGGUCCGGAAUACUGUCGCCAUCGGAACAGCCCCCAAGCCGGCCGUCUUGCAGUUGAUACAAUGACUCGGUCUCUCCGGUGGACGAUUCAUCAUCAGAGUAAACAACCGUCUCACCACCAAAUGCCGAUCUACCUUCAGAUUCCGCUCCAUGGAUGAAUCCCACGAAGGCAUGAUUCAUGGCAGGCUGAACUCGAGCGGGUCUCGUACGCUGAGCCGUCUCAAUGAUGUCGGUGCAGAUGUCCGGCUCAGGGCCCGGUUCGUCGAUCUUGCUAAUGAAGACGUGAAUUCCGCUGAAGGGGACCCGGUACCCGUACUCGAUUGAGCCGGCCUCGGGGCCCCAGCCUGCGUCGUCGAUGUAGAGCUUGCCACGAUGACUCUUGGUCAUCCGGCCCAUAGUGUACCCCUUGAUCCCUUCAAAGUUGCCCUCUAAGAACUUGAAACCAUCGUGCGAUAGCCCCACGGUGGGCGCCAACUGUCGUGGAAUUGUCACGUCAGAUGUCCUAGUGUGAGGACUUAGUCGUGGAGCCAUCGCAACGAAGUUAAAUUAAAGGGGUUAAACGAGACAAAGGACACAGGGAGUUAUACUGGUUCGCCCCUUGCGGUGAAGGUAAAGGCCUAAUCCAGUUUGUGGUGUUAUUGCUAGGGUUUCGAUGACCAGGGAGCGAAUACGCUUAACCUGGCUCUCGAUCUGUUGUUUCUUGUCCCUAAACCACCAUCGGGUCGUCCCUUUAUAUACAUAGGUUGACGCCCUGCGGUUCACAGAAUCCCGGCCGGCUCAUAAACGUGUCCGGCUCGGUAUCUACUCUUUCUUAUUUUACAAUACAAGUCAUACACCUAUGGCGGUUUACAUCUAUGGGCCCUAACCCACCUCUGGGCUUUGGCCCUUCUUAUUAAGUCUCCUUCAUAAUUUGCCAUAUUCUAUGUCUUUAUGGGUUUUAAUACUGGUAAAUCAUCAUGAGUAUAAUCCGGCCCCUCCUGGGCGGUUUAUACUCAAUAGUUAUAUCCCCAAUAGUCAUGUCUACAUAGUUCUCGAACCCAUAGGGUCCGCACGCUUAACGUUCGAUGAUGAUUUGUAUUAUGAGUUAUGUGAUUUGAUGUACCGAAGGUUGUUUGGAGUCCCGGAUGAGAUCACAGAAUGACGAGGACUCUCGAAAUGGUCGAGACGUAAAGAUCGGUAUAUUGGAAAGCUAUAUUCGGACAUCCGAAAGGUUCUGAGUGAUUCGGGUAUUUUUCGGAGUACCGGAGAGUUACGGGAAUUCACCGGGGGAAGUAGUGGGCCUUAAUGGGCCAUACGGGAAAGGAGAGAAGGGCCUCGAGGGGUGCCCCCCCAUGGCAAGUACGAAUUGGACUAGGGAGGGGGAGGCGCCCCCUUCUCUUUCCUUCUCCCUCUCCUACUCCUUCCCUCUCUCCCCUCUUGGAAAAGGAAGGGGACUCCAACUAGGAUUGGGAAUCCUAGUUGGACUCCCCCUAUAGGCGCGCCCCUCCUAGGCCGGCCUCCUCCUCCUCCCUCCUUUAUAUACGUGGCCAAGGGGGCACCCCAAGACACACAAGUUGAUCUUUUAGCCAUGUGUGGUGCCGCCCUCCACAGUUUUACACCUCGGUCAUAUCGUCAUAGUGCUUAAGCGAAGCCCUGCGCCGGUAACUUCAUCAUCACCGUCACCACGCCGUCGUGCUGACGAAACUCUCCCUCGGCCUCAACUGGAUCAAGAGUCCGAGGGACGUCACCGAGUUGAACGUGUGCAUAUCGUGGAGGUGCCGUGCGUUCGGUACUUGGAUCGGUUGGAUCGCGAAGACGUUCGACUACAUCAACCACGUUACUAAACGCUUCCGCUUUCGGUCUAUGAGGGUACGAGGACAUACUCUCCCCGCUCGUUGCUAUGCUUCUCCUAGAUAGAUCUUGCGUGAUCGUAGGCAAAUUUUUGAAAUACUACGUUCCCCAACAGCGGCAUCCGAGCCAGGUCUAUGCGUAGAUGUUAUAUGCACGAGUAGAACACAAAGAGUUGUGGGCGAUAAUAGUCAUACUACUUACCAGCAUGUCAUACUUUGAUUCAACGGUAUUGUUGGAUGAAGCGGCCCAGACCGACAUUACAUGACCGCGUUCAUGAGACUGGUUCUACCGCCGUGCUUCGCACACAGGUGGCUAGUGGGUGUCUGUUUCCCCAACUUUAGUUGAAUCGUGUUUGACUAUGCCCGGUCCUUGUUGAAGGUUAAAACAGCACACUUGACGAAAAUCAUUGUGGUUUUGAUGCGUACGUAAGAACGGUUCUUGCUAGAAGCCCGUAGCAGCCACGUAAAACUUGCAACAACAAAGUAGAGGACGUCUAACUUGUUUUUGCAGGGCAUGUUGUGAUGUGAUAUGGUCAAGACAUGAUGUGAUAUAAUUUGUUGUAUGAGAUGAUCAUGUUUUGUUAAGGUUAUUGGCAACUGGCAGGAGCCUUAUGGUUGUCUCUUUAUUGCGUAAGAUGCAAGCGCCAUAUAAUUGCUUUACUUUAUUGUUAUGCGAUAGCAAUAGUUGCAAAAGCAAUAGUUGGCGAGACUACCAUGUGACGACAUGUUGAUAGAGAUCAAGAUGAUGAAGAUCAUGGUGUCAUGCCGGUGACGAUGGAGAUCAUGACAGUACUUUGGAGAUGGAGAUCAAAGGCACUGGAUGAUGAUGGCCAUAUCAUGUCACAUAUUUUGACUGCAUGUGAUGAUUUAUCUUUUAUGCAUCUUAUUUUGCUCAGUACGACGGUAGCUUUAUAAGAUGAUCCCUUACUAAAAUUUCAAGGUAUAAGUGUUCUCCCUGAGUAUGCACCGUUGCGACAGUUCUUCGUGCUGAGACACCACGUGAUAAUCGGGUGUGAUAAGCUCUACAUUCACAUACAACGGGUGCAAGCCAGUUUUGCACACGCAGAAUACUCGGGUUAAACUUGACGAGCCUAGCAUAUGCAUAUAUGGCCUCGGAACACUGAGAUCGAAAGAUCGAACGUGAAUCAUAUAGUAGAUAUGAUCAACAUAGUGAUGUUCACCAUUGAAAACUAGUCCAUCUCACGUGAUGAUCGGACAUGGUUUAGUUGAUUUGGAUCAUGUGAUAAGUUAGAUGACUAGAGGGAUGUCUAUCUAAGUGGUAGUUCUUAAGUAAUAUGAUUAAUUGAACUUUAUGAACUUAGUUCUGGUAGUAUUAGCAUAUCUAUGUUAUAGAUCAAUAGCUCGCGAUGUAGCUCCCCGUUUAUUUUUGAUAUGUUCCUAGAGAAAAAUAAGUUGAAAGAUGACAGUAGCAAUGAUACGGACUUGGUCCGUGAUCUAAGGAUUAUCCUCAUUGCUGCAUAGAAGAAUUAUGUCCUUGAUGCACCGCUAGGUGAUAGACCUAUUGCAGGAGUAGAUGCAGACGUUAUGAACGUUUGACAAAGCUCGGUAUGAUGACUACUUGAUAGUUUAGUGCACCAUGAUUUACGGCUUAGAACCAGGACUUCAAAAAUGUCUUGAACGACAUGGAGCAUAUGAUAUGUUCCAAGAGUUGAAAUUUGUAUUUCAGACUCAUGCCCGUGUUAAGAGGUAUGAGACCUCUUACAAAUACUUUGCCUACAAGAUGGAGGAGAACAGCUCGACCAAUGAGCAUGUGCUCAGAAUGUCUGAGUACUACAAUCGCUUGAAUCAAGUGGGAGUUAAUCUUCCAGAUAAGAUAGUGAUUGACAGAGUUCUCUAGUCACUAUCACCAAGUUACUGGAACUUCGUGAUGAACUAUAAUAUGCAAGGGAUGACGAAAACGAUUCCCGAGCUCUUCGCGAUGUUGAAAUCAGCGAAGGUAGAAAUCAAGAAAGAGCAUCAAGUGUUGAUGGUUUACAAAACCACUAGUUUCAAGAAAAGGGCAAAGGGAAAGAAAGGGAACUUCAAGAAGAAUGGCAAGCAAGUUUCCACUCCCAUGAAGAAGCCCAAAGCUAGACCUAAGCCUGAAACUGAGUGCUUCUACUGCAAAGGAAAUGGUCGCUGGAAGUGGAACUGCCCUAGAUACUUGGCGGAUAAGAAGGUUGGCAAAGUGAACAAAACUAUAUAUCAUAUACAUGUUAUUGAUGUGUACUUUACUAGUGUUCAUAGUAGCCCCUGGGUAUUUGAUACUGGUUCAGUUGCUAAGAUUAGUAACUCAAAACAGGAGUUACAAAAUGAACAAAGACUAGUUGAGGGCAAGGUGAUGAUGUGUGUUGGAAGUGAUUCCAAGGUUGAUAAGAUCACCAUCGCACACUCCCUUUACCUUCGGGAUUAGUGUUGAACCUAAAAUAAAUGUUAUUUGGUGUUUGCGUUGAGCAUAAUAUGAUUGGAUCAUGUUUAUUGCAAUACGGUUAUUCAUUUAAGUCAAAGAAUAAUUGUUAUUCUGUUUACAUGAAUAAAACCUUCUGUGGUCAUACACCCAAGGUGAAUGGCUUAUUGAAUCUCGAUGAUAGUGAUACACAUAUUCAUAAUAUUGAUGCCAAAAGAUGCAAAGUUGAUAAUGAUAGUGCAACAUAUUUGUGGCACUGCCGUUUAGGUCAUAUUGGUGUAAAGCGCAUGAAGAAACUCCAUGCUGAUGGGAUUUUGGAAUCACUUGAUUAUGAAUCACUUGAUGCUUGUGAACCUUGCCUCAUGGGCAAGAUGACUAAGACACCGUUCUCCGGAACAAUGGAGCAAGCAACUGACUUAUUGGAAAUAAUACAUACUGGUGUAUGCGAUCCGAUGAGUGUUGAGGCUCGCCGCGGGUAUCGUUAUUUUCUGACCUUCACAAAUGAUUUGAGCAGAUAUGGGUAUAUCUACUUGAUGAAACAUAAGUAUGAAACAUUUGAAAAUUUCAAAGAAUUUCAGAGUGAAGUGGAAAAUCAUCGUAACAAGAAAAUAAAGUUUCUAUGAUCUGAUCGCGGAGAUGAGUAUUUGAGUUACGAGUUUGGUCUUCAUUUGAAACAAUGUGGAAUAGUUUCGCAACUCACGCCACCUGAAACACCACAGCGUAAUGGUGCGUCCGAACGUCAUAACCAUACUUUAUUAGAUAUGGUGCGAUCUAUGAUGUCUCUUACCGAUUUACCACUAUCGUUUUGGGGUUAUGCAUUAGAGACAGCUGCAUUCACGUUAAAUAGGGCACCAUCUAAAUCCGUUGAGACGACACCAUAUGAACUGUGGUUUGGCAAGAAACCUAAGUUGUCGUUUCUUAAAGUUUGGGGCUGCGAUGCUUAUGUGAAGAAGCUUCAACCUGAUAAGCUCGAACCCAAAUCGGAGAAAUGUGUCUUCAUAGGAUACCCAAAGGAGACUGUUGGGUACACCUUCUAUCACAGAUCCGAAGGCAAGAUAUUCGUUGCUAAGAAUGGAUCCUUUCUAGAGAAAGAGUUUCUCUCUAAAGAAGUGAGUGGGAGGAAAGUAGAACUAGAUGAGGUAAUUGUACCUGCUCCCUUAUUGGAAAGUAGUUCAUCACAGAAAUCAGUUCCUGUGACUCCUACACCAAUUGGUGAGGAAGCUAAUGAUGAUGAUCAUGAAACUUCAGAUCAAAGUUAAUACCGAACCUCGUAGGUCAACCAGAGUAAGGUACCGUACCAGAGUGGUACGGUAAUCCUGUUCUGGAGGUCAUGUUACUUGACAUGAUGAACCUACGAACAAUGAGGAAGCGAUGAUGAGCCCAGAUUCCGCAAAAUGUCUUGAGGCCAUGAAAUCUGAGAUAGGAUCCAUGUAUGAGAACAAAGUAUGGACUUUGGUUGACUUGCCCGAUGAUCGGCAAGCCAUAGAGAAUAAAAUGGAUCUUCAAUAGGAAGACGGACGCUGAUAGUAGUGUUACUAUCUACAAAGCUCGAAUUGUCGCAAAAAUGUUUUCAACAAGUUCAAGGUGUUGACUACAAUGAAAUUUUCUCACUUGUACCGAUGCUUAAAAGUCUAUCCGAAUCAUGUUAGCAAUUGCCACAUUUUAUGAAAUUUGGAAAAUGGAUGUCAAACCUGCAUUCCUUAAUGGAUUUCUUAAAGAAGAGUUGUAUAUGAUGCAACCAGAAGGUUUUGUCAAUCCUAAAGGUGCUAACGAAGUGUGCAAAGCUCCAGCGAUCCAUCUAUGGACUGGUGCAAGCAUCUCGGAGUUGGAAUAUACGUUUUGAUAAGUUGAUCAAAGUAUAUAGUUUUAUACAGACUUGCAGUGAAGCCUGUAUUUACAAGAAAGUGAGUGGGAGCACUACAGCCUUUCUGAUAAGUAUAUGUGAAUGACAUAUUGUUGAUCGGAAAUGAUGUAGAAUUUUCUGGAAAGCAUAAAAAAGAGUUUUUCAAAGAAAGACCUCGGUGAAGCUGCUUACAUAUUGAGCAUCAAGAUCUAUAGAUAUAGAUCAAGAUGCUUGAUACGUUUUUUCAAUGAGUACAUACCUUGACAAGUUUUUGAAGUAGUUCAAAAUGGAACAGUCAAAGAAGGAGUUCUUGCCUGUGUUGCAAGGUGUGAAGUUGAGUAAAGACUCAAAACCCGACCACGGCAAAAAAUAGAAAGAGAAUGAAAAGCCAUUCCUUAUGCCUCAGUCAUAGGUUCUAUAAAGUAUGCUAUGUUGUGUACCAUACCUACUCACCAUGAGUUUGGCAAGAGGGUACAAUAGUGAUCCAGGAGUGGAUCACUUGACAGCGGUCAAAAUUAUCCUUAGUGGAGUAAGGACAUAUUUCUCGGUUAUGGAGGUGACAAAAAGUUCAACGUAAAGGGUUACGUCGAUGCAAGCUUUGACACCGAUCUGGAUGACUCUGAGUCUCAAUCUGGAUACAUAUUGAAAGUGGGAGCAAUUAGCUAGAGUAGCUCCAUGCAGAGCAUUGUAGACAUAGAAAAUUUGCAAAAUACAUACGGCUCUGAAUGUGGUAGACCCGUUGACUAAACUUCUCUCACAAGCAAAACAUGAUCACACCUUAGUACUCUUUGGGUGUUAAAUCACAUAGCGAUGUGAACUAGAUUAUUGACUCUAGUAACCUUUUGUGUGUUAGUCACAUAGAGAUGUGAACUAAUCACAUAAAGAUGUGAACUAUUGGUGUUAAAUCACAUGACGAUGUGAACUAGAUUAUUGACUCUAGUGCAAGUGGGAGACUGAAGGAAAUAUGCCCUAGAGGCAAUAAUAAAGUUGUUGUUUAUAUUUCCUUAUAUCAUGAUAAAUGUUUAUUAUUCAUGCUAGAAUUGUAUUAACCGGAAACUUGAUACAUGUGUGAAUACAUAGACAAACAUAGUGUCCCUAGUAUGCCUCUACUAGACUAGCUCAUUGAUCAAAGAUGGUUAAGUUUCCUGACCAUAGACAUGUGUUGUCAUUUGAUGAACGGGAUCACAUCAUUAGAGAAUGAUGUGAUGGACAAGACCCGUCCGUUAGCUUAGCAUUAUGAUCGUUGAGUUUUAUUGCUAUUGCUUUCUUCAUGACUUAUACAUGUUCCUUUGACUAUGAGAUUAUGCAACUCCCGAAUACUGGAGGAACACCUUGUGUGCUAUCAAACGUCACAACAUAACUGGGUGAUUAUAAAGGUGCUCUACAGGUGUCUCCGAAGGAGUUUGUUGGGUUGGCAUAAAUCGAGAUUAGGAUUUGUCACUCCGAGUAUUGGAGAGAUAUCUCUGGGCCCUCUCGGUAAUGCACAUCACUAUAAGCCUUGCAAGCAAUGUGACUAAUGAGUUAGUUGCAGGAUGGUGCAUUACAGAACAAGUAAAGAGACUUGUCGGUAAUGAGAUUGAACUAGGUAUGGUGAUACUGACGAUCGAAUCUCGGGCAAGUAACAUACCGAUGACAAGGAACAACGUAUGUUGUUAUGCGGUUUGACCGAUAAAGAUCUUCGUAGAAUAUGUAGGAGCCAAUAUGAGCAUCCAGGUUCCGCUAUUGGUUAUUGACCGGAGAUGUGUCUCGGUCAUGUCUACAUGGUUCUCGAACCCGUAGGGUCCGCACGCAACGUUCGAUGAUGAUUUGUAUUAUGAGUCUGAAGGUUGUUCGAAGUCCCGAAUGAGAUCAUGGACAUGACGAGGAGUCUCAAAAUGUUCGAGACUUAAAGAUUGAUAUAUUGGAAGGCUAUAUUCGGACAUCGAAAAGGUUCCGAGUGAUUCGGGUAUUUUUUCGGAGUACCGGAGUGUUACGGGAAUUCACCGGGGGAAGUAGUGGGCCUUAAUGGGCCAUACGAGAAAGGAGAGAAGGGCCUCAAGGGGUGCCCCCCAUGGCAAGUCCGAAUUGGACUAGGGAGGGGGCGGCGCCCCCCUCUCUUUCCUUCUCCCUCUCCUACUCCAUCCCUCUCUCCCCUCUUGGAAAAGGAAGGGGACUCCAACUAGGAUUGGGAAUCCUAGUUGGACUCCCCCUAUAGGUGCGCCCCUCCUAGGUUGGCCUCCUCCUCCUCCCUCCUUUAUAUACGUGGCCAAGGGGGCACCCCAAGACACACAAGUUGAUCGUUUAGCCGUGUGCGGUGCCCCCUCCAUAGUUUUACACCUCGGUCAUAUCGUCGUAGUUCUUAGGCGAAGCCCUACGCCGGUAACUUCAUCAUCACUGUCACCACGCCGUCGUGCUGACGAAACUCUCCCUCGGCCUCAACUGGAUCAAGAGUUCGAGGGACGUCACCGAGCUGAACGUGUGCAUAACGCGGAGGUGCCGUCCGUUCGGUAUUUGGAUCGGUUGGAUCGCGAAGACGUUCGACUACAUCAACCGCGUUACUAAACGCUUCCGCUUUCGGUCUACGAGGGUACAUGGGCAUACUCUCCCCGCUCGUUGCUAUGGUUCUCCUAGAUAGAUCUUGCGUGAUCAUAGGCAAAUUUUUAAAAUACUACGUUCCCCAACAACGUUCCCCAACACUUAAUGCUCUAGAUGCAUGCUGGAUAGCGGUCGAUGUGUGGAGUAAUAGUAGUAGAUGCAGGCAGGAGUUGGUCUACUUGAGACGGACGUGAUGCCUAUAUUCAUGAUCAUUGCCUUAGAUAUCGUCAUAACUUUGCGUUUUUCUAUCAAUUGUUCCGCAGUAAUUUGUUCACCCACUGUAAUAUUUUCUAUCUUGAGGGAAGCCUCUAGUGAAACCUAUGGCCCCCGGGUCUAUUUUCCAUCAUAUAAGUUUCUAUUUUCCAUGAUAUAAGUUUCCGAUCUACAAUUUUAGUUUCCAAUUUACUUCCUUUGCAAUCCUUUACUUUCCGACCUAUAAACCGAAAAUACCAAAAAUAUUUACUUUACCGUUUGUCUAUCUCUAUCAGAUCUCACUUUUGCAAGUAACCGUGAAGGGAUUGACAACCCCUUUAUCGCGUUGGGUGCAAGUUGUUUGAUUGUUUGUGCAGGUAUUCGGUGACUUGUUUGUUGUCUCCUACUGGAUUGAUACCUUGGUUCUCAAACUGAGGGAAAUACUUACUCUACUUUGUUGCAUCACCCUUUCCUCUUCAAGGGAAAAACCAACGCAAGCUCAGGAAAUUGCACCCAGUGCGACCACCAAUUUCGGCAGGCGGUGACCAUAGUCGAAGCGUCAUGUUGCAUGUUCCAGCCUAUGGUCACCACAAUCGCAUCCGCCAAACUGCUAGUUCUGGCAUCAACUCAAAUGGUCGCCGAUGCCUCCGCCCACCGCACCUCCGGUUGUGACACGUCAUGCGUCAGCCCCGCAAUGCGUUAGUUUUAGCACCAGGGGAUGCUGCUCGACGCAAGCCGCAUCAGCGGUUGUAGCCAUAGGCUUCCGCCCCUUGGCAGCUAGCGGUGGUGUCAUCCCCAGCUUGGCGUAGCUAUCAUCGCUGACGACCGGCAGCUAGCCCUGACCCCCGCCUCCUCCCUCUCCAAUCUAUACGCAGGAGCAGGGUAAAGAGGGAGGUGGGAACAACCUUGCAUCGCAGUAGCGUCCCACGUCGUCGACGGUCGGCCGGCCUGGGCUGCCAACCCCUUGGAACAAGAAGGAGGUGAGAGGCGAAGAGAGGAGAGAUGGAGGAAACAGGUGGAGGAGGCCGCCUCCCGGAGAAAAGAAAAGGAACUCGACAUUUCGAUCAGCGGGCCCCGCCAGCCACGUGGCACCUGCGCAUAGUGGUCGAGCAUGAAUCGUUGCGCGAUUCGGAGGGCGCGCGUGCGGCCGGGACGGCGCUUCCGCCAGUUGGCCGACAUAGACCGUUAUCCUUUUACAUGGCGCCCUCGUUUUGCAUGAUUUAACUUUGAUCAUAUUUUAAUUAACAAUAUAAGUAAUAUAUGUCAUAAAAAUUAUAUCAUUGAAUUCGAUGAUAUAAUUUCUUUAUAAAAUAUAACCUACAUUUAUCAGUCGAUGGUAAUACUUUUAUUAGUGUCUCUCUCCCUUCUCGAUAGUUAACUCAAUAACUAAUCAUUAAUUUCAAAAUUUAUCCAUCAAAAUACAUCUUGCCAUCACAAUGUGGUAUUUCCUAUCGGAGCAAACCAGAUUUUUCUGAAAAGGAGGUUCACCUCUGACCUCUAAACAUCAGUGAUGCACACGACCACAUAUUAUUUAUUAUAAAAAAGAAUGCUAAGCAAGGCCAAAUAUUGAUCCAAAAUAAACCAGCAUAAAAAAAGCAUUCUUUCGGUACAUUUCCAUUUACGUACAAAGUUUACAAAUGUUCAAUGUAGUUCAAUGGGUGAGAUUAAAGCACACCCUCUACUUAUCAAAGGAAGUAUAAUCAUCUUGACAAAAAAAUCUACUCAUUAGCACGUUCAAAAUAAUGACCUUUAUCUAAUCAUUAGCACGGCUUUCAGUAAAGAGUUGUUUACCCUCAAAAAGUAAAGAGUUGUUUACCAUCUAAAAAAAAGAUUUGUUUAACAUAUCCUUAGCCAGGGUCCAUUACCGUCUGCAUACUUUCUCCGUGAUGGGUGAGUGUGGAAUUUGUGUGGGGCCGGAAUUUGUGCAGGACCGUAUAGUAUAUCUGUGCGCUCUUCAAAGUAGGAGUACUACUACAAUUCCGAAGUGCAGAAGUGGCACAUGCAGCGGAGCAUAUGAAGGCGUACAAUAACGGUAGUAGUGCAGAAGUGGCACAUAGUACUUCCCCAAAAUGUGGUGCAGAGCAUAUGGAAGCACAGUGGUAGUAGGAGUAGCAGGCUACAUAUGGUACGACAGGACGGCUGCGUGUAAAGACGGAGCAAAAGUAGGCAGCCACCGACCAGAGAGCCCGCUUGUGGCCAGAAGACUGCUCUGCGCGAUGCGCGGGCCGCGGGGCCAGUUGGUCCCGGCCCCGGAGUCGCUACGCAUGCGACGCAACUGUCCUGUUGACAAGACUUAAGUAGUGAGUUCAGUCAUUUCCCCAUUAUUUCCCUCUCAGCGCAAGGUGCUGUGCUUUGGAGCAACUCCAACGUGGCGACCUGAACGAGAGCGUUUUGUCCGUUUUUCGUCCGGUUAGGUCGGUCUAGCGGACGUGCAUGUUCGCAUUUUUGAUGGAUCGAUUUGACCGCUCAACGAAAGGCGGAUACAAAUAUGCCCGCAUAGAAAAAAAUAAGUCACAGAAAUAAACAUAAUUAAACAUUAAAGUUGCCGGUCAAUCGCCGGCCAAAGUGCACUUAAACCUAAUUAAACAUUAAUUAAAAACAUAAAAAAGUCUGCGCCCGCACGCUGCCCUAGACGUCAUCCGCCUUGCCUUUGUCCUUGACGUCACCAUCGUCGCCCGUGAGGUCGAUGAAGACGGGAGCAGGGCCCUCCCACCGGAACGCCGCUUGGUACGCUGCGAGGGCAGCCUCCUCCGGCGUCUGCUGGGGCGCCGGCAUUGCAGCUCGCCGGGCGCGCUCCUCCUCCUCCUCAAACCGCAGUGCCUCCGCGUCGCGGCGCAGCUGCUGCUCCCACAACAUUUGCCGCUUGUCGUCGGCCUCCUCCUGGGCGAGCCAGUGCGCCUUCCAGCGCUCAAGGUGGGCCGCCUCCUCCUCCAGCGUCGCGGCGUAGUGGACCGGAGGCGCGCUCACCCACUCACGGUACUCGCUGGUCCACGUGUAGGCCUCCUCCGGCCAAGUGGGUGGAGGCGGGGAGCGCUUUCGUGUCGGCUCCGGAUCCAGCUUGGGCUCGACGAUGGGCGGCGGCGGUGGCGAAGGCGGGACGAAGAGCGGGGUGUGGACGGAGUCCCCCGCCGCCGACAAGGCAAGGGCUUGCUCCAGUCCAUCCCAAUGCGCGUCCUCCUCGAGCCGGCUAGCCUCCAGCGCGUGCUGCAGGGCCUCCUCGAGGGCGGCUUGGUACUCCGCCUCCGCCUCCAUUUCCUCCGGCUCUACCCGCGGGGGCGGCGAUGGAAACUGCAGGUUGGCGUCGACGCCUAGCCGCCGUUGCUCCUCGUGUUCGAGGGCAAACCAGGCCUCCCAGUUGGGAGAGUCGGCGGCGUACUCGGGCAUAUGCCGCUGCGCCGGCGUGAGCUGCGCCCGGCGCCUUCGCGCCUCCUCGUCGUGCGCGCGUUGUGUCUGCAAAACCGCCGGCACCGGGAUUCGAUGUGGAUCGAGGUGCCAGUGGUGCGGCAGCGUCACGUCGGGGUAAGGCAGCGGUUGCCUGUACUCCCAGUGCCACCGCGCUUGAUGCACCGGGAUGUGCAGACGCCGCUGACCUGACCGGUCACGCGCCGGCCGCAAAGAAGGAGGGGUAGGAGGAGCACGGGAGGAUGAGGCGCCGGGGGUCAGCUUGCCCUUGCCGCUGCCGGAGCUGCUGCCGAAGAGGCCCAUUGCUAGGGUUUGGGGUGUCCCGGCGAGGAAGCAAGAAGGAGGUUGCGGUGCAGAUGUGGACGGAAGUGGAUGAGGCCGCCCCCCACCGCACGCGUGGGUUAAAAAAGGACGUUUUCACUGGCUGACUAGUGGGCCCGGUGCCGGUGGCCGUCAUAAAUUAGACGACGGGCGGUAGUUGGGUGGCCGACAAGUGGGACCACGACAGACACCGAGGAGACGCGUGGCGCGGACGCGAAGCAUUUCAGGCGCAAUUUUGGGCCGGAAAUGGGUCGGCGCGAAUGCGAAGCGGAUGGCUUUUGGGAAUGGGUCGGCGCGUUGGGCCGGUGUUUCUAUCCGCGCUGACCCAAACGAACAUGGGCGGACGAAAUGAGUCGCUUUGUUGGAGUUGCUCUUAGUACUUUCUUUUCACAGGCAAGAUGCGUCCUGCGUUAGAGCAACUCCAAUGGUGCAGUACUCUUGAAAAACUUUGUUUUACCACUCUGGAUUUUGAUCACUUUGCUUAUGCCAUUCUAGAUUUUAACCAUUUUGCUUAUGCCACUUUAGAAUUUGGCAUUUCACGUUUGCCGCUCUUAGUUUUGGACCCGCUUGAAUGUUAGUGAUGAAAGACAUGGUAACUCGCUGCAGGUGCUCCAUUUUAUGUUUGCAGGAGUCGAAGCCGGAGCGAUUAUCUGAGGCAAUACGAGCUGAGUUGCCCGGCCCGAGCAGGGGCGGAGCGAUUACCAAGUCUAGUUGAUAAAAGAAUCGGUCUACGGCCAAUUAUCAUACUAUUGUAAUAAUGUGCCACUUUGGCGCUAUGAGACAUGCUUACAUUUGUAUUAGUUUGAAAUUGCUGAUUACCAAUAAGAUACAAUAAAUAAGAUACCAGUAAUUUUGUCAAAGGAGGACUUAGCUGCUAAUUCACUUCCAAUCUAGAUGAUAUCAUGCAGUACCGGAGAAAGUCGCAUUCCCUUUUACUCUGAAUUAAUUUUGACGGUGUUUAGUUGCGCUUUCUCUUCAUAACUGCAAGCACCGGGAGUGGUCCUAUGAGUGCCAACUUCCUCCAUCUCCAAGUGAUGAUCAUGGGUUGAGACAUCUAUACAAAAAAGGACCAACACCACUCAUUUUGAUACAGAGUUAAACGCAUAUUGCAAAAUCUAGAAAAAUGCAAUAACAUUCAAUUCCAUCACCAGCUCAGCUUCACAUUUAUUAUUCUCAACUAUCAUAUUAAAAAUAUCAAACAAAUUGAAAGAACUAAACAAAUUCAAUAACAAACAACGAAGGAAGGGUUGCUUGGCUGAGCUAAAACCAAAGUAAGUGAGCUACACGGGAACGGGGAAGGCGCUACUUGGCUGGGCUAAAACCAAAGUAAAUGGGCCACACUGGAACAGGGAAGGGGAUGUUAUUCGGAGUACGAGCUAUUCAUGUUGUUUCUGAAUGUUUGUGAAUUCAGAAAGUUGUUUGUGAAUAAAAAAAUGUUCAUGCAUUCGACAAAUGUUCACGAAUUCAAAAAAGAUGUUCCGGCACUCCAGAAAUGUCCGUGAUCUAAAAAAUGUUUGCGAAUACAGAAAAUGUUCACAAAUUUCCAGUGAAUAGGAUUUCCAGUGCGCUAGUUCCAUCCGCACACAACGAAGGCCUAAAAAAAGCAGAACCAGAAAAGCCCAACUACGACCAGACGACCACGAGGCCUACAAAGACUGAGGUAAUUAGGAGCGGCAGAUCCUAUUUCUCGUACAGGACGUUGGAUAGUCAGGUACCUCGUACACCAGAAGCACUAGUGCAUUACAAGGGCUUUUGCGAGCCUUUCUUCCAUCGGUUUUAGGACGGACCUCCCUUGAAUAGGUUUUUUCUACUAUUUUUUUGAUAACUAUCUGGGUUCAUCAGCUGUAGUUUUUGAUGGACUAGUUGAUCCGACUAUUUUGGAGGCGCAUGCUUGUUGCGAGGCCAUUGCUCUGGCACAAGAUUUGAACAUUCGGAAUUUGGUUGUUGCCUUGGCUGCCUCGAGGUCGUCACAAACAUAAGGGAGCUUCGCCUUCAUGCGCACAUGCCCUGAACAUUAUUAAACUUAGUAUUAGUAAUUUCGCUUUCACAUAUUUCCAAUUUGAGUUUGGAGAAAAUAAUUUUGAAGCCCACUCUCUAGCAAAAGAAGAUGUGUCUCUGGAGGUGGGUCGCCAUCUGUGGCUAGGGGUUCUGCCGGAUAUUGCUUGUAUUCCGCUCGUUAUGAUUUUCGAAGAAACCCUGGUUACCCUAAAAAAAUACUUUUUUAUCUCUCCUUUUACUGUUUUCAUUUUUUACUUCCAUGAACACUUUUUUAGAAGUUCGAAAUUUGUGAGCAUUUUUAUAAUUCAUGUACAUUUUUUCAAAUGGUAAUAUUUUAUAAAAUAUCUGACCAUCUUUUUUGAAAUUUUUAUCAAUUUUUAUUUCAUGAUUUCUUCGAAGUCUGGUAUUAUUCAGAUUUAUGCAGAAUUUUGAAUUCUGGAAUAUAACUGGGGAUAAUUUCUGAAAUUUAGGGAUAAUUUUUCUGAAAUAUGAGAACAAUUUUCAAAUAUAUGAUCAAUUUUUUUAAAGGAUCAAUUUUCAAAUUCAUUAAUGGUUUUAAUUGUGCAUGGACAAUUUUUUCAUUUCUGAUGGACAUAGGUUUGAAAAUUGAGAACAACUUUCAAAUUCAUGAAGAUCUUUUGAAAUCCAGGAACAACUUUUAAAAUUCAUGAACACUUUUUUAAUAUGGAAUAAUUUCCAAAUUCGUGAUUAUUAUUUUUCAUUUCAGAAUAUUUUUUACUCCUGUAGUAUUUUUCAAAUUCAUCAACAUUUUUUGUAAUUUGAUUUUUUUUAAAUACUGAAAAAUUUUAAAAUUCAAAAUUUCUUAGUAGUCCCGGAAGUAAUAACUAACCAGAAGAUUUUUCAUGAUUCACUCACUAACCAGAAGCAAGGCAAUAACUAUUCAGCAGCCCCUCAAUACUAGACUUAAAAAGCAGCAGGUUGUCAACCAAGAACAAUAGGUGGUUGACCACCGGGUCAGUCGGAGCCACUUUUAUUCCACUAAGAUGCGAUGACUACGAACUGAAUUUUAAAAGGCACAAAAGACCCUCCGCUGCAAUUAAGAAAAGAUAAGGGGAAAUUGGGGCUCCUUGUUGAAUACCUCUUGUAGGUUUGAAGAGGUCUCUCUCAUUUAACAACACUGAAAAAGAAACUAAUUUGAUCAUAUUCAUCACCACAUUUAUCCAAGAUGUCGCAAAACCAAGCUUAACCAUAAUAGGAUGCAAAUAGUCCCACUCGAGUCUAUCAUAGGCUUUGAUCAUGUCGAGUUUGAGAGCACAAAAUCUAUUUGUCUUGAACUUGCUUCACUUCUUAAAAAGCAAACAUUCAUAUGCACUAAUAAUAUUAUCUACAAUUAGUCUACUAGGCACAAAAGUUGGCUGUUUCUCUGAAAUAAUAUCAGGAAUGAUUUGCUUCAAACGGUUUUGCCACUAACUUUGAUGCAAGUUUGUAGAGAACGUUGGAAAGGCUUAGGGGUCUAAAUUGUGCCAGAAGUGUGGGAUUCAUUACCUUGGGGAUUAGAACUAGGAUUAUUUUCAUUUAUAUUCUUGAGAUUCUCCUCCCCUCUCACAAUGCACAAGACUACCCUAGUUACUUCAUCGCCGCAAAUGUCCCCGUGUCGCUGGUAAAAAUGAGCUGGGAAGCCAUCUGGUCUGAGUGAUUUAGUUGGGAACAUCUAGAAAAGGAGAGCCCUUUUAACCUCCUCUACCAUAUAUGUGAGGUAUUGUCACAUGCGGCACGACUGUUGGGUCGGCCCAUAUAUCCCAUGCUAUACACAAGCGCGAAUUGUAGCUCGCAUUAAGUGGGGCAUAUCCAUUCUUCUAUGUCUCGCCUAUUGCAAGACGAUAGCUCGUCUCGCCUCUAGCACAUGCGCUACGAGACGGGCAUAACGUGUGUUUAUGUAGCUCCUCCGAGCGGUUUUCAAAAGAUUUUAUGGACCUAUUUGAAUCGGUUUUGGAAGCUUCGUUGUGGUUUUCCAUUAUUAUUUUUCUAAGUCUUUUCUAUAUCAAUUUUCACUAUUUUAUUUUAUUUUUGUUUUCUGGCUUUUCUUCAUUUCUCAAAUAUAAGCGGAUCGUUUCAGAUACACGUUGAACAUUUUCAUAUACAGGUUGAACAUUUUUCCAAAAUACACAUUGAUUAUUUGUUGAAUGCAUAUUCGACAUUUUUUAAUACAGGGUGACAUUUUUAACACACAUUGAAUAAUUUUCAUCAAUGCAAUGAACAUAUUUUUGAAUGUGCAUAGAUUUUUUAUGUGCAUAUAUUUUUGAAAUGGUGCAAAUAAUUUUUAUAAAAUCAUGCAAACAUUGUUUUUACGUUUUAUAAAGAUUUUUUGAAAAUCUCACGAACAUAUUUAUGAAAUGCAUGAACAUUUUCCUGUGUUUCUCUCUCCGGGUUUCUCCCUUUUUUUUCAUUUUUCCUUUUUUCUGUGUGUGUUUUUUUCUUCGUUUUUUGUUGGAUUUUUUAAUUUAUCUUUUAUAACAAAUGUCUAGUUUUCUCAACACAUGCAGUACAUUUUUAUUAUAAAUCUGAAACAAUUUUCUUGAUACAAGUUGAACAUUUUUUGAAUACGUGAUUGUUUCAAAAUACAUGGUUUGAAUAUUUUUUCCAGUGGGUUGUUAAACUUUUUCAAAUACACAUUGAAACAUUCUUUUGAAUGAUACACAACAUUUUUAUUAAAAAAUACACGAACAUUUCCUUUCAUUGUAUAAACAUUUUAUGAAAAAUACCAAGAUCCUAUUUUGAAAUGUGUGAUUUUUUAAACAUGUAACGUACAUGUUUUGAUUGGUACGUAUAUUUUUUUAAACAAAAAAAUAUUUUAGGGCAUUGCACCAAUAUUUUUAGAAAAUAUCAUUUACUUUUUAAAUGCAUGAACAUUUAUUUUAAAUGUUACAUUUUUUAAUGUUUCGAAACUUUUUUUACUUAAAAAAAGAUUUUCGUCCUUAUAUAAUUUUUUAAUAUCAUGAAUAUUUUUCGAAAGGCGUGGACAUUCUUAAAACGUCACACACAUUUCCUUUAAGGCUAUCAAUGUUUUUUUAGAUUACGCACCCAUUUUAUACAUUGGAUAAAUAUUCUUUUAAACAUGUGAUGAUUGUUUUUGAUAACUUUAGAAAUUAUUUUUCCAUUUUUUAAAUAUAAGUAAAAUUAAAAAGUACUCCCUCCAUCCCAUAAUGUAAGACGUUCUUUGACACUAGUGGUGUAAAAAAUCGUCUGACAUUUUUUACACUAGUGGUGUCAAAAAUCGUGUUACAUUAUGGGAUGGGGGGAGUAUGUGCCCUGGAUAUUCAGCGCUGGGCGGCGCUUUUAGGGGCCGCCUUAGGCGAGCGCCACGUUUAGCUCGUAGCAGGCGAGACAUAUCCAUUUCUCAAAAAAAAAAAGGCGAGACAUAUCCCUUCCCGUACUUGCAUUGCUGACCCAACUCAAAAAAAAAAUUGCAUCGCUGACGUCCCCAAAAACCAACUUACGUAGCUGACGUCUGCCCAUCUCAAUCGACUGAGAUGAAGCUCAAGUCGCUCCCUAAUUUGAAAGGGUCAAAAAAGAAAAGGUUUGCCUCCGAAGAGGAAGCGCAAUUACACACUGCAAUCAGAUAUAGAAAUAGAACUGCCUUCGUCAGAUACGAAUCGUCCUGCAGCUAGCUGCAGGUGUCAACACGUUGUCAAGGAUGACAAGUCGCUGCUGCCUCUGCGCACCACCUCGGUUUUGAUCGUGGGCGCACAGCCAGCAGGCGUGGGAGUUCAUGCUGCAAAGUAUAAGUUCAGAUCAGGGGACGGACGGUUGGUUUCGGCCUUCUGUGAAGAGCUGCUGUUGCUACCCGCGGUUCACGUCGGAGGCAUCUGCAAUUUCUUUUGUAGUAUAGCAGUUGGGCAGGCAUUGGAGCACUUCCCUGUAAACUGGUGAGCAGUCCAUUGUGAGUGGAGCCGCGUUGGGUAUAGAGUAUAGACAGUACUGGCAGCUUGGACUGAUCUGCACAAGCUGUUCAAUUCUAUCGCAAAGUCCAAACGGGAGCCAGUAACUAAAUCGUUGCAACGAGCCAAGAACUGCCCUCGCAGAAAAAAAAUCGGAGCCUACUACUGCUUUCAGUGAGCUGGAGGGGAAGUUGAAGGGAGUAAACAGAAGAUUUUGUUUGGGGAGGAAGGACAAAAAACUCAGGGGCAUUCCGAGAAUUGAACUCGGGACCUCUCGCACCCUAAGCGAGAAUCAUACCACUAGACCAAAUGCCCUAUGGUGUCUAUUUUUACUGUGUAACCUUAUUAGAAGAGAGAAGCACGGUGUCAACUACGUACAAUGUUAGUACAUUACUUCUUCUUUGGAAAAGACACAUCGAUUAAUUACCGGUGUUGUCAGCAAAAGCAGUUCGUAUAUGUGUGCAAUGCCUUUGAUCUUUGUGCAACCCUGCAUGGGCUUGACCUACAGGUUUUUGUGAUCCCUUGAGUGAUUAAUUAGCAGAAGAGCUAAGAUCGUGGUCUUUCCGCUCUUUGUCUCUUUUGCUCCUUAAGGGAGCGUAGACUGUGUGCUGUUUUCAUUUUGCUGAGGCAGCGUUUCUGCUGUUUUUUUCCCGCGCGCCUUGUAGCUCCAAAACAAAACAUGUUCGGUGGUUUCGUUGCAUGCAAUGGAACCGGGGCGUUCGAGCCCUUUUCUUCUAAAAAAAGAGCUAAGAUCGUGAAGAGCAUCACCAAGUUUGAUUUUCACGCUCUUUAAAGGAAAAAAAGUGCAUUUAUGCAAUACGUAGCUCAUCUUAAUGUAUAUAUAAUCCCCCUCAGGGUUCAGGCCUCAACAGAAAGACUAAUGCCGCGCGUAAAUCACUGCAUGCCAACUAUAAGAAAAAUAGACAUACACAGCGAUCAAGCUAUAGAUCACCGUAUCUCCGGUGGAUUAAAUACGGCACGCUUUAAUUUCUUCGAGCAGAAGUGGCUCGCAUGUACACGACGGGGAAGAUGGAACCACAUAUGUGCAGUCCAGCUAGCUAGUGAUCAGUCAAGCACCAGGAUAUCUUGCAUUUCUGCAUAUAUCUUUCUGUCAAUUCAAACGCCUAAUGCAUUAGUUAACCAGCUGCUCUUGUCAAUCACAGCUUGCAGCACCAGCUAAAGCGAAUCAACAAACAAAUCAAUUUCAUAUCUCAUGGGUGCACCGGUUAUUACAAUUAAUGUACAGCAAGAACUGCAAACAAGGUAAAAAAAAUCAAAAUCAAACACAUAAAAUCAAUACUGCAGGAACCUAGACUAAUAAUUUACAGCUUGCCAAACCAGCCUAGACAACACCGGGCCAAUUUGAUCAUCUCGUGUGUGAGGCGAGCGAGCGAGCAUGCGUGUUCAUCAUGCAGAAACCCUAAUGCGCAGUAUUGAGUUGGUAAGACUUCUGACCAUGUCGCCAUCGGUUGAGGGUUGACCCGAUCAUUGCUGCUGAGACGAGAGCGGCCCGAAGAUGUCGAGGAAGCCGGACGGCGAGCCGAGCGCCGACGCGCCGCCGGGGCUCAAGAAAUGGUCGCUGGUCUGGUGCAGCCACGGGGAGACCAUGGGCGCCUCGCCCUUGAGCGCCCCGCCGCGGAGCGGGCUGAGGUCGUGGAACAGGAACCCCGUCGUCGGCGACGGCGACGGCCCCGCCCACGAUGGCGGCACGUUCUGCUGCUGCUGCUGCCUCGUGGCCGUCACCGAGACGGACACCGCGGGGCCGGGCCGGUUCAGGGCGCGGGCCUUGACGCGCACCGGCUGCGCCGCCCUCCCAGCCCUGUCCCCCGCGAUCCUGGGGGAGGACGACGACGUCGACGCCCUCUCCCGCCCGUCCUCCCCGGCGACCUCCGGGCCGGUGAGCCGCUGCACGAGCGACAUGAACUCGUGGGCCUCCACGUGGAUCACCUUGGGGGACACCAUGUAGAUGUCUAGAUGAUGACCGGCUUCCGGUUCUGCUGCUGCGCCUGCGACGACGGCGUCGGCUUGCUGAUCUUUCGCGACGCGCCGUGCACGCCGAGGGCCCUGUGCCGGACGUCGGCGUUGUCGUAGCUCGUGGUGGUGGCCAUGGGGGUGGAACAGACGAGCGCGCACGGGCCGGCGACGACGACGGACGGACAGCUACGUACCGGCGGGGGGUAAUGGAUAGGUGCGACUUUGCGGCAGGCAGGCAGGCAGACGCGGAUGAUUUGAGGGGGACAGCAAGAGGUUAAACGUACAGAUCUUCUAUCAUCCGUGGGGGCAGAAUGGCUUAUAUAGCCAUGGACAGCGUCCUCGCCUCCGGGCGUUUUAAAGGCCAAAAUCGAAUGAGACAAGAGUGGUGCGGCGUGGCACGUGCCUCGUGUUCCAUCCUGUGUGGUCGCCUCUCUCCGCAGCCCUAGUUGUGCUCUAUCGUCGACACAUGCAUCAUCUCUUUUUUUUUUACUGCUCGAACAAUCCCAUUUGAAGUGCGAGAUACCCCGGUUUUAUUUACUGACAAAUAUGAUGUUUGGUAGCCACCACACGUUGCCUAUUGUUCAGGUCAAUUUUUCAUUCUUCUUCAAAUUUUACUCUUUUGAAUAGUUUGGAUUGCUUACCACAUGUGUCAUGUUGUUCUUCAAAUUUUACUCCACGGUGUGGUCUCCCUUUGAUUCACAUGGAUGGAUGAAGGACUAGAGGAUAUUUUUCUCCCAUCUCAGCUUCAAGACAAAAUCUACUCACACCAUCUGUUGGAAAAGGCAACGCUUAAGGAGGUGCUUAAGCGUCACCAAGUUGCUACAUAUGUGUUUUUUCCUUAAGGGUGAAAUCUUGUAUGUUUUUGUUCUCUCAGCAGUUUGGUAGGAAAUCUAGAAUGUGCACAACAAAGUAGCCUUUUUGACGAAAUCCUGAUCAAAAGUGCAUUUGAGAUUAUGCUCUUUGCAUGUUUGUAUCUACUAUGUUGGACAAAUAUUGGGAAGCGAGAAGAUAUGGAUGCCUUGCAGCAAGGUGAUGACAUGAUCCUUUCAAAUGUUGUGAACAUGAUUGAGCCGACCAACGGAAGGACGACCGGGCAAGGCAAGGUAGAGUGCUCCGGGCCACCAAACCGCCCGAAAAACUGAUUUAAAAACCCAACUCGACGGCCCCUCGCCAUUUUCAUAUGCUUGCCGUCCACGUCGGCUGAGCAAGCAGAGGAGAGGUGCCCCGUUGAUGAUGGAUUGGACGUAGACGCGGGGCACUUCACCUCGCGCCAUUGGCUCCCUGGACCGCCACAAAGUCAGCUCGCACAUGGCGACGACUAAGGGAUCCAGUGCCGAUCGAGCAGCUAGCUGUGGUUAUCCCAGUGGCGGAUUGCAAGUUGAAACAUGCGUGCGCAUAGUUGUUUUUGCAGCAGGACUGCCGGCCGGCCAGCCGGCGAUGGCUCGCGCACGGCGACGUGGCGCGCGUGAACUCGUGGGCGCGCGCGCGCGCUGGGGUUUAUUGUGCUGGCGGGGCCGGGAUGCCAUUGUGACGUGCACGUAGCGAAGGGCGCGCGGGGGGUACGAUGUUUCGUACGGCGGGGUUUUCUGUCGGUCAAGCACACGAUCGGAGACUGCAUGCGCGCGCGGCGAGGGAUGACGGCUUGACUUGACGGCGGAAGAGACGAGGGAAGAAUUUCGGAGUACGAGCUAGCGCAUGCAUGCAUGGCGAGAUUUGAACACGUUUUUUCGCUUGCAUUGCCUGCGACGGCAUUCCGCUUCCUAGCUAGCACUACUAUUUAAUUGUCCCUAGAUCGAUGGUGUCGAAGCUUGGACAAGAUAGGGGUGUUUGAUUAGGUUAGGUGGAUUUAUGGCCCAAUCGUAGCCAAGAUAUCAACAAGUAAAACGCUUGACACGGUAGGUAUCCUCUUUUAAAACGAUAUGAAAUGACACAUUUGACGUAUACACCACGGAUGGCUUGACCUUCGAAAGAACCACGCACCUACGGACGUGUUAAGACGUGUAAUAUAUACCGUGCGUCAACGUCACAGAUGAUGAGUGUGGUUCUGAUCGAUUUACCACCCAAAAAAAGCCAAGGCGCUUUUGGGCACCUUCGGGGGGUGCUUCAAUCUGUACGCGCGUACCCUACGGGCGGGCGGCUUCGUCGCCAGGGAGACCAUCGGCAGGUAGAAAGCGCGACGUAGCACGUCUCUCUCACGGCCGCCGCCAUGGCGCGCAUUUCUCUUCCCCCACCAUCAUCCGAUAUUGUAAAUGAUUCUAUCAGCGGCAGGGCUGUUGCAAACUUGUAGUAGUAGCAAUUGUUUCUGAGCUAGGCGCACAUAUGAUACGCCGUACGUCUCUUUCCCCCGGUUUGACAUGGCGGGGGCAGCAGGGGGCGUGGGGCGUGACCCGAUUCGGCUAAGCGCGCGAGCACACAAUCGAAGCCGUGCAAGAAAGCGUUGUGCGCACCAGGGAUAGAUGGGCGGGGAGGGAGGGAGGAAGCCGGGUCGCGAUGGGGUUAGCACGUUGAAAUUGAUUAAUCAUUAACUAAUAUAAUCGCUUUUGAAGGGUUCCAGGAAGAUACCAGUAGGCGCUUUCUAUUUUGAAAAAGAGGUGGCAGUGAAAUGAAUCGUCUUCGCCCGGAGGCUGAGGUGGCCUUUCCGGUUUGGGUAAAGCUCCAAAGGGAUCCGCGAGGUUUCGCACACAGAAUCAGAAUGCGACGGGGGGUAGCAUCCACAAUAGAACUUGUUCGAGAACGUACCCGGGGUCGGACGAGGCAUUCGGGGUCAAUCCACCCCGGUGACUUUUGCCAACUGCUGCAUAUUUUCUUUUGGAAAAAAAAUACUACUACGUGACGCCUGCAGUUUUUACACGAAGCCUUUUCUUUUCUUCCUGCGGGUGUUUUUUCUUCCCGCAGCUUCUUGCAGGUGUGCUUACAAAAUGCUUUUUUUUUUGCGGGGGGAAAUGCUUACAAAAGGCUUUCAACCUGCUACCUGACAUUUAGGCCGCGCACCACGACAAUUCUUUAGUCGUAACAUGACAAUCUCUAUCUUAUAGCAUGGCAGUUCUCUAUGUUGUGACAUGGUAAUUUUCUGGACAUGUGUGGCAGUUUCCUCUUCUGUACCAUGGCAAUCCUCUUAUUUCUAGCAUGACAAUUCCUGAACAUAUGGGCAUGGCAACUUUUCUCUGCUCAACAUUUGUCAUGACCUAAUACCUAUAGCCUGGCAAUUCUCUUCGUACACAGUAUGGAAAAAACCUGAACAUAUGGCAAGUUUCUCUGGUUGCAGAAUGGCGACUCUCUGUGUGAAACAUAGAGCAUCCAAGCAACAACAUGUAUAGAGCAUAGUUCAUCAUCACUGCACGGUUCACCUAAAAGCGACCAUUUACGUAACUAGAGAAGGGUGUUUAGUCACGACUAAAUUCUGAGGUUGCAUAUCAAAGUUUCAGACUUCCAGUCAACUACUACAGGUGUAGCAAGCAUAGAAACUCAACUGGAAAUAAGGUUCCCUUAGACUACCAGUGAAUGGAUAGCUUGGAGCUGUCAACUGUCCGUCAAGAAAAUCAUGGAAUACAAACUACACCUUGCAAUGGGAGAAAAUAGAUAGCUGACAACGAAGCUUAUUAGCCUUGGCGUUGCAAUUUUUGUAUGCACAGAUAUCUCUGGGUUACACGAGUAAAAGCAAAUGAUUGUACAGAAAGAUACUCCCUCCAUCCCAAAAUUCUUGUGUUAGAUUGGUCUAGAUACGGAUGUAUCUAAUACUAAAACGUGACUUGAUACAUCCGUAUUUAGACAAAUCUAAGACAAGAAUUUUGGGACGGAGGGAGUAAUAUACUUCUAAUGCACAUGCAAAUCAAAUGAUAUCAGAAAUCAUAAAGUCGAUACUGGUCAACCCCCAUAUCCUUGGAGAUGCAGAAUUGAAGAUCAAGGGGUCCCAAGACUUGACCUGGGCCCCGAAGGGGGCUUAUUUCACUUCCAAGUCCAUUUUAGUUUCAUUCCUGAGAAACAAAUAUUCGAACUGCAAAUACGGUUUAGGGCGAAAUCUCGAUGGCGGUAAGCUGAAAAGAACAGGCAAACGACCAGACCUUGCCUUUCCUAAGAAAUGCUUAAUGCUACCAUGUGCAGACUUCUAUAUAAUUUGUUGAGCUUAUCCUGACAUAUCCAAAACGUUCUGCUGCCUGAAGAACACUGGUUUUGUUUUUUGGCUUCUAUAUUAUACACAACAAAAUAAAUUGGAAAAAAAUAUUCUACCAGGGUAAGUUAUAAAAGAGUUUUUAACUUCUGAUACAUUAUCGCUGGCACAGCCCCAGCCUCCAUUGAGUUGACAAAUGAUAGAUGGAACUUUAUAAAAUUAUGUUGACACAAUAAUAGAGGGAUAGAAAUAUAAGAAACCUCUACAAGACCAAGUGUUACACAACUCUGUUUAAUAUCAAGUCCUAAAUGUCUUUAGCAUGAUGACACUUAAUGUAGUUUGAGGUCAACCAAUAUUACAGUAUAACUUCGCUGCCACCACCUUUUUAUUUAAAUAAGGCUUCUCUUCUCUUUUUCCAAGAGUCAUUUUCCACGCUUUUCAAAGUAUGAUGAUAGAUGAAGAUAAGCAAAAGUACAUAAUCCAUGUCAUCCAUGGCACAGUUGCGAAUUGUGGUACAGGCAAGGAUGUUCUGUCAAGAUACCCUAGGUGAAGGCUAAGUGUACUAUUGGACAUUAAGCCUUUCCAGCUGAAGUUUCACUCUGAAUCUGUGCUGUCUGAAAUAUCAAACCCUAACUCUUGCUAGUUCAGUUCGUGUUUUACGAGAAAUAGUUGCUCCAAUUCACGACUGGCAUAAAUGUUCUACACAUUAACAGAUAAUGGAGUAACAAAAGAAGAACCGGUACUGGUUGUCACUUGUCAAGUCUUAGCCAACAAAAAAUCCAUUUUGUGGCAGCAUAGUUUUUCAUAUUUUGGUUGGGGUGGAAGUUGGCACUGAAUUAAAACAUCCAAUAUCCACCUAGAGGAAAAAAAGAGGAACAUCCCCUUCCAUGAAGAACUAAGAGUUGUCUCCUAAGAUUCUUCCUAUUUGCUUAAACAGCUCAUAGGAUCACAAGAACCAAGCAUCUCAUAGUAAAAAGCCCGUCCACAGGUUUACAAAGAAAGUCACAAGGUCCAUGAUAGCAAUCAAAUGAGAGGUUGAUAAUUAAGGUAGCUUGAACUUGGAUCUUAUAUAAUUGACUCCAAAUUGUCAUUCACAGUUUCAGCUAGUCAAGCCAACUAAUAAUCUGUGAAGCAGGCACGAAAAUUAAGUCAUCCAAAUUAACAGAAGUGGGCAGCGAACUUAUAUUAGAAUCACAUACAUCAUAAGUAGCUAACCACGUGGAAGAAACACCAGAUAAACCAUUCUUAGUGUAGAUGAGAGAUACACACUAAACGAUCAACAAUCAUGGACUGUCAUUGUAUGCUAGUAAGAGGAUUCAUACCAGUGUUCUGUAAACCACCAAUUGGCAUGCAGCGAAAUGGGACAGGCCCGAGUCCAGACUUCUGAACCCUUUCAUUAUAAUCGACAAACAAAUUAUGUGAAUACUACAGAACCGACCACCAAUUAACAAUCCAACACAGAAAGAUAUGGAAUCUAUGUAUUAUUAUUGCACAAAGUAUACAUUAAUUACAUUGGUAAGGAUCUACAUCAAUAGAUAUACUCGCUACAUAUCAUCCAUAAAACACUCGAAUUGCUUUACAGUCCAACAAUUACACAAGCGUAAGCGACAGAAGCUAAACCAGUUACCAGUGCCAGCAACAGUACUGCCCCCACAAAGUCCAUCCAGAACUAAUGUGUGGUGUCGUAAAUCUGGGCCAGAAAAGGCUUCACUAAAUGCGCAACAAUAGAGUUCUGAAAGAGGAUCACAGUACCUGUACAUCAUAUGUGGGCAACUAGGACAAACACCUUGGCCAUAAGCAGACUAACACAAUAUAUAACAUAUAUGAAAGUUGUGAGCUGACCAAAUUUUGGUCGAAGUUUACAGUCCCGACUAAAUUGAGCAGUGCAGAUAAUAUAGGAUUGGACCAUGGGACAUGGCGUAUAAUGAUUAUUACUGUUAUAGGGGGUUUCAGCUGCAGUACUGCAGCUGUUUGUGAAGCUGCACUGAACACUUGGCAAGACAAAUUUUCAAUCCAUUUAAGAUAUGUACCAUUAGACAUUUGGUAUGUUGUCAUUGAACAGACUUCUAAAGCCGUCCCAUAAUAUAAGAGCGUUUUUCACACUAGUGUAGUGUCAAAAACGCUCUUAUAUUAUGGGACGGAGGGAGUAACUGCAAAGUGCAAACAAUACGCAAUAGCUCUGCAACUGAUAUUAGUAUAAAAAUACUCAAAUGCGGUAAGCACCGGGCAUGGCUACCACAUCCUAGACUACAAACACAACACCAUAUGAUCGGAAGCGCGCAAUCCCACAAGUGCAUACUGACGACAAUUCACCAAUCCAUCCCAGCACAAUUCACCAUUCCAUCCCAGCACAAUUCACAGGGCUCGCUGCCUAGAAGUCCAUCUGCAGCCAUUUCUUGUAGUAGACACAAGUAGUUGGCGAGAUGACCCCAUCCGGUGAGCACUCGUCGAUCCUGGGACAAACCCCACAUGGAAUCCCUUCUAUCAUGCCACCCUGCGGCGCGCCACCCCGCCGAUAGCACACCCUCCCAGCUCUGACAGCGCUGAACUCCCCCUCCCCGGUGCUCCUGCACUCCUCCAGCACCCUGUCGAGCGCCAUGGUCUGCAGGAUGUCCCUGAUCUGGUCGAUAGCGUACCCUGCCCUGGGGUCUUCCCUCUCGACGCCCUUGUGGACCAUGUCAGGGGUGGCAGCGCCGAGCCUGUCAAUCUGGUCGAGGCACCUGCGGCGCACGGCCGCCACGGCGUCGGUAUCGAGCUGGCCGUUGUGAUACCAGGUUCCGCCGGUGAUCUCGGGGGAGGGCUCGAUGCGGGCGUCCAUGAAGACCUUCUUCCCGCGGUGGCGGACAUCGGUGACCUCCUUGAGGAUGCCCCGCUGGACGAGGGCGCGGGUGAGCUUGGUGAGGGUCGGGGCGGCCAGCUUCAUCGCGUAGCGGAUGUCCUGGCUCCACAUUCCCUUGUUGCCCGCCUCGUAGAUGCGCUUGUAGACCUCCCGCUCCGGCCCCGGGAGGUUGUUGAGGAUGGAGGCAGGCAGGAUCUCCGGGGCGGAGGCGGGGGCGGGGGCGGGGGCAGGGGCGGGGGCGGAGGUGGAUUUGGAGGCCGGAGAAAUGAGGGGCUUGACAUCCGGUUGGGCUGGCAUGCCCGAGGACGGUUCCAGCGGGCGCUUCCGCGGCGGCAUGGCGGGGCGACGAGGAGCGGGCGGCGGCGGCGGCGGCGGUUGGGUUUGGAGGAGAUGAAAUCGUGGGGGUUUGGAUGGGUCGCCGUGGUGAUCCCACGGUUCCUUCACUUCAUCUGGGCCUUCUAGCUUAAGAUAGAGGCCGAGUGGAAAGACUAGUCGAGAGAAUUUGUGGGCCGGGCAACUGAGAACAUACUUUGAGCUUCCGAAAAGACCAUUCUCCAAAAAAUUUAGGUAAAAUUGUUAAGCAUUUUGCCCUGCAAAAAACAAACAAACUGAAUACCAAAUAUUACAAGCGAAUUUGUUUGUUCACCAUGAAACAAAGCUGCUCCGUUUCGCAUGAAAAUUAUCAAGCAUGCUUAUGACACUAACACGAACAUCUACCAAAAAACAGAAAAGGUAAAUUUUGCUUACUUUUUUUCAAACUGUUCAUGCGGAGCAAAUGCACCUGGAAGCCAAAACGCCCUCCAGAAGUUUCUAUUUCUAAAUAUAAGAUGGCGAAGUAUGAGGUGAAAAUGCAUUUUUAGUGAAAAUCUGAAAAUUUCUAUUCUACACUGUUGGAUCGAUGGCGGACGUUCUAGAUUAAGGUGGGACUGCUAAGUAUCCACUUAAACGUAAUUAGCACAUAACCCCCUCUCUAUUAAUCAUCAGGUGAAAAAGGGCUUGGCCCUCGCUAAUUCCUGGAUCAUAUCGUCUUCACGCCUUGAGCGCCGCCGCCGUGCACCUUCCACCGGCGCAUAGCCCCUGGCCUCAGCCGGCCGCGACCAGCCCUACUCCCGUCAGAAUGGGCCUUCCAUACCUAGGGAGUGGCCCGCCGACGACUCUCCCUCUACUGGUUGUGUCUGUACCCAUGAAUUCUCUUCCACAGAUAGCGGUGGGGCCUUUGUCGUCUGCGGGUUGCCCUCCAUGGGAUGCGGCUCAUCCUCCGGCAGCCGCGACUCACUCUUCGGAGCAGCGGCGUAGCUAGGCCCCAGGCUACCAGGGAUGUGGCCUGGGGCGUAGCAGCUUGUUGCUUGGUGUCCUGUAGCAGCAGAAACACUGUUUGCUACUCCACUGCUUCGGAGCACUUGUCACCGCUGCUCCCUGCAAUUAUGUCGUCCGACAUGCCUCAGCCUCUUCGUAGUCAUGUACAGGUAAGCUAGUAGAUGGAUCAUUAACCUACUCUAAAAAGACUUAUAUUUAGGAAGAAGAAUGUUGGAGGGCCGAAAAAGCCUCGCACAUGCGGGGCGUCUAACCAGGUUGGCUUCUAUGACAGUCGUAGCUGCCCCAACAAGGAACAAGAAUCGUAAAGGAGUUGUCAUACACAAAAAUGGCUAUAUUACUUCAUAAGUCGUUUGUCCACUAUAAUUGAUCUUUUCAUGUCUACCUGCAGAUUCUUUUAUUUUGAUAUGAGGCAACCCGGUGCUUCCAUUUUGAUGUAGUACAAGAUGAAGUUCAAAACUUUAGUGUCAUCUUCACCGACCUUCAACGCUAUCUUCCUAGCUAUUGAGAGCUUGUGUGUCAUCUUAUCUGUUGAGAGUUGUGGUGUUAUGUUUGGAAACUUCCUUUUGUUUACCUUUAGAGAAAUGAAACUCUCUUUUGUAGAGAGACAUAACUAGUUAUUUUUCUUAUGAAAAAAUUGUAAGUUGUCACUGGUUUAUGUACAAUGUGUGCCCUGAACUGUCACUGAUUUUGGUUCAUCUCAGUCUGAACUAUUCUGGGAUUUUGAUUCAUCUCCAAUGCUGUUGGUGUGGAAUAAGAACUUCAUGCCUUGAAUAUUGUCUUUAUAAGAUGUACCCGUUCCACAUCUAGUACAACAGCUGGUAGUAGAUCAGCUGAACAUAGCUUUCAAUGAUACAGUACAAGGUAAUUCACAUUGGGUGACUGCAAAAGAGCUCACCAAAGAUAAUGUUAGGAGAGAAUUUUGACUUUCUGUGUUGUCAAUGAUUGAGAUACACCAAACAUUGCAAGGGAGCUCACGCUGUGGUUUUUAAAUGGUUACAGCCUCUGAAUUCGGACUACAGUACAUAAGCAAGCUUACAAGUUUCAUCAACAGAAAAAUGUAACAUUCAGAUACAAUUUCUGAAUUCAUACUACAAAGCAAGAAUUCUGCUGCAAAAUGUUGGAACCGGCUAGCCCUAGCCCUAGCCCUCUCCUCCCUUGCACUGGUCUCUCUCUCUCUCCGGCCGUGGCUCGCACCAAUGAAAACGAGGAGGAAGGAGGAAGAUGGAGCAGACAGAAGACACGGUGAGGUUUUCCCCGGCGCAACAACGCCUGUUCCCGAGCUCGUACUCGUCACCUCCACUGCCUACAACACACGGGUGCGAGGGAGUUUAUAUCUGCGUCCAUCGGCGCACCCCACCGCGCCCCCGACGCGCCCCCCUUCACGCACUCCCCCACGUCCCCGCGCUCCCGCCGCGCACGCACGCGAUCCGCGCGACCAGGUCCAGCGCCCGACGUGGUCUACACCCGCGCCCGCUGCGCCAAAUAACACACAGCAUGGCCCCGCGCGCACACGCGCUGGCUCACGCACUCACACACGCACACCUACGCCACGGACCCGACGCGUCCAACGUGCCCGGCGCGCGCCCAUACACGCACCCGGCUCGUUCGACACCUCGCCGCGGCUUAUUGCGCCAUUGUGGACACAUGGUCGAUCGCGUACCCUGCGCUGGGGUCUUCCCUCUCGACGACAUUGUGGACCAUGUCCGGGGUGGCGGCGCCGAGCCUGUCAAUCUGGUCGAGGCACCUGCGGCGCACGGCCGCCACGGUGUCGGUGUCGAGCUGGCCGUUGUGGUACCAGGUUCCGCCGGUGAUCUCGGGAGAGGGCUCCAUGCUGAAGUCCGUGAAGACCUUCUUCCCGCGGGGCCGGACUUCCGUGACCUCCUUGAGGAUACCCCGCUGGACGAGGGCGCGGGUGAGCUUGUUGAGGGUUGGGGCAGUCAGCUUCAACGCGUAGCGGAGGUCCUGGCUCGACAUGCCCUUGUUGCCCGCCGCGAAGAUGCGCUCGUAGACCUCCCGCUCCGGCCCCUUGAGGUUGUUCAGGAUGGCGGCAGGGGGCUGAACCUCCGGUGCGGAGGCGGGGUCGUCGGUGGAUUUGGAAGCCGGAGAUAUGACGGGCUUGACGUCCGGUUGGGCUGGCGUGCCCGGGGAAGGUUCCAGCGGGCGCUUGCGCGGCGGCAUGGCGGGGGCGACAAGGAGCGGGCGCCGGCGGCAGUUGGGUUUGGAGGAGAUGAAAUCGCGGGGGUUUGGCUGGGUCUCGCCGUCAUGUUUUAGGAUAGAAGAGGCCGCGUGAAAAGACUAGUCAAGAAAACUUGCGGGCCGCGCAACUGAGUAAAGUUUUUGAGCUUCCGAAAGAGCAUUUUCCAAAUUUCUUAUGCGUAAAUGUGUGAAUAAUUUUUUAUCUCAAAUAAUAAGUGCCACACAUGUGACAUGAAGCAAUCCGGUCCUGAUAUUUUUUUUACAACUAAAAUUGUCAUCCGAAAAGAAAAAUAAACCUAAAAAAACUAAAACUUGCCAUACGAAAAGGAAGCUGCCAUCCUCGCGUCACUAAACUUACCUAAAAAAUGUUAGGAGCUGCCAUGUGUUCUUGCCACACGUGUGACACUUAUCAAAGUCCUUUUUUAUUUGCAAGCUUAUGAAAGAAAAAUGGUUUCACCCGCAAAAAAAUGGUUUCAUACGUGGGUUGCCAAAAUUCUAGUGAGCUAAAACAUAAUAGGACCAUAAAAGAGUAGUGCUCUUAACUUUUAAUCACCAAAAAUGUAUUCAUUUCUUCUAAGUUUGUGGAUGCAUUUGGAACUAACGUAUUGAUGCGUUCACUUGCCAAUUUUGAAGAAGGGGUUACUUUGCAAAAUUUGGAUGUCAUAUUGUGUGUGUUCUAAUCAAAACAUCAUCAAUAUUAAUAAAUAUGAAAAUUAUAAUGAACAAAAGUUUGUGUUGUAACUGCAACUUAUUGAAUAUUUAAUGACGUUGUUCAGAUUUUGUUUGCAACUAAAAUCUCCUCAGCCUCUUAACAACUCAUAAGUUUCUCUUUUUCACUCUCAAAGAUAGCCUUGAAGCAAAGAGAGACAAACACAAGGAAUGGGUCAACAAAGGGAGGAGCUUCGCCUCUGGAACACAAUGCUCUUUGGGCCCUCACAAAGUCUAGAAAAUGGCCCACCUGCCCACGGAGCAUGGUGUCUAUUCAUAGAAAGCGAAAAUCUCACCCUCACAAAGUAACUAGCCCUAUCGCUUUUUCUUUGUGUUUGCAUAUUUGUUUUUUAUAUGAUAUUUCUUUAAUGGAAAGAGUUGUCUUUGCUCUCAAGAUGUGAAUGUCUUCUAAAAACUUAACUAACAACAUUUUCAAAAUUGGCAUGAAAUCUUAUGAUCUACAUAUGCUUGCUCGAUUUUUGUUUGAUCUAAUAUAUAACAACAUUUCUUAGGAAGUAUGCAAACUUACAUAAUUUUGUAGUUUUCUUGCCGUCGCUAUUAUUGGAGGAAAAAGGCAUAUAAAAAUUUCAGAAAAAAUGUUUGUAAAUGUCUAGAGAAAUAAAUUUGUCAUUGUUCAUUUGUUUUAAUUGGAUAUGCUUUGCAACUUCUCAAUUACCAGUUCACAGCAUAGAUGAGUUGAAAUACAAGGCGGUCCAAGCAGUGAGACGUUUUUAAAAAAUAUAUCCAAAAGAGCGUUUUUUUUCAACUAUCAAAAGUUUCCAAAAUAAUUUAGCGUGAACCAAAGCAGUACACUAGGAAUCUAUAAACAUUUGCGGAAAAAUGUUUUUUUUCUUCUGAUGAAUUUUUUUGUAGAGCUGAAGUAACAAAUAGUAUCAAUUUUUAUUUUAUUAUCCUUACUAACAAAAUUGUGUCUUCAUCCUCCAGUUUAUGGGUGCGACUAGUAUUGAAAUAAUACACUUCUGAAAUAGACCAAGUUAACCCUAAAGAGAAACUACUCUUUUUUUUCUUUUGCGGGUAAAGAGAAACUAGACUUACUCCUAGUUACGUUAAAAAAGUACAAGUGCUUAUUUGAUUCAACAGUUUCAAAGGAAAUCUGAAGGUUUAGAAUGCUUAGAGUUGUGUGUGUGCGCGCGCGCAUGUGUAUUUUAUUAUCCUUCCUAUCAAAAUUGUGCUUUUUUCCAUCAGUUUAUCGGUGCAGCUAAUAUUGAAAUAACACACUUCUACUCCCUCUGUAAUAGACUUGAAAACAUUUCAUGGGAAUUUUGCAUUCAUCUUGGACAUAUUCUUCUAUUUCAAACAAAUUUGAUGCAAAUUCAAACUUUUGGAACCCAAACGGACAUGACAUUGUAUUCCUUGAUUCCUGAGUUUGCAAGAACCCUACGAAUCAAAGUGGCUCACCAAUUUUUUACCCCUAGAUAAAGUGGCAAUCUGAUAAUCAUGUAACCACAUGUUUCUAAUAUUAACAGGAAAAUCUCGGCAACAUUACUCAACUAUAAUACAGUAAUAAAUUCUAUAGCAAAGCUGUAUACUUCGCCUCCUACUGCAUAGUGAAAGAGACAAUUUCAGUGGUACAUAUAGUGCAGAUAUGUCUGAAUGCAGAAUCUGAAUCGAAUUGAUCAAAGUUAACUCUGUGCGAUCCAAUCAACCAGUUCUGUAACAGAGGCUGGCUAGUAUAAAUAGACCAGAGAACAGCAAAAGUACAUGAUUUAAUUCACAGUAGUGAAUAAAACCUUAUGGGCUCACUCUGAUGGUUUCGAUGGCAUUAUAUGAUUUAACAAUGUACACUGAACAUUUCCACCAUUUUACAGCUGUUAGGAAUCGUCAAAUUUUACAAAUUACUGAAAUGAAACAGGUGAGGUCCUGGUUGCAUCUCCAGCGAACAUCAAGAUUAAGGUUGACUGAGUAAGAGGUGUCGUGUGUCACAGUGUCCGUCUUCUCAUUUGGCAGCCUGCUCGAUCACAGAUAUCUUCGUCCACCUUUCCUGCUCUUCGGGUGCAUUGUUUCCCUGAAGAGGUGGCAACGAGAAAGCACUGACUGUCGAGCUUUUGCUUCGGAUCUCUUUCAGAGCCCUAAGCGCCGCGACCGUGCUCUUCAUGUACAUGCUCUCCAUGAACUCAAUCUCAUCAAGCUCUGGAAUACAUCUGCUGUUAGCCAAGGAAGAACUGGGGUUCAGAGGCUGGUCCGCAGUGUUGCCAUCUUCUUUGCCCUCUUCAAUUGAUACAGAUGGUUUGUUUGAUGGCAGGAGCUGGUCAAGCAUAGCCUCACACUCCUUCACAAGCUUGUACAGGAGGUCAGUGGUGAAGAAAGGCUGAAGCAACACGUUUUGGAUGAAAGGCAGACGGAUCAGAGCCCCAGUUCUCUUGUCAUACUUCUUGAGAAUCUUCACCAGCCCUGUAAUUACAACAGAAACGUAAGCAUCAUAGACGAUGAGAUAUCAGAGGACUUCAAAUAGCUAGUCACUGAGUAGUAAAGGUCCAAAUGGCACACAGAUCACNNNNNNNNNNNNNNNNNNNNNNNNNNNNNNNNNNNNNNNNNNNNNNNNNNNNNNNNNNNNNNNNNNNNNNNNNNNNNNNNNNNNNNNNNNNNNNNNNNNNNNNNNNNNNNNNNNNNNNNNNNNNNNNNNNNNNNNNNNNNNNNNNNNNNNNNNNNNNNNNNNNNNNNNNNNNNNNNNNNNNNNNNNNNNNNNNNNNNNNNNNNNNNNNNNNNNNNNNNNNNNNNNNNNNNNNNNNNNNNNNNNNNNNNNNNNNNNNNNNNNNNNNNNNNNNNNNNNNNNNNNNNNNNNNNNNNNNAGAAGAGAGGGAUUGCUGAGUUCUGCUUUAUAAAGUCUAAUAAGCAGCAGUUUAGACUCAAUGAACUUUUAUCUUUAGUCAAAUUCUAAAAUUAAGUUAUGUCAAAUCUGCAGAAAACGACAGAGACGGGAAACAAACAUACAAAUUUAUCGGUAACUUAUCAUGCCCCCUCACUAGAAAACCUGAUCCCUCAAAGGAACAUAGCACGAAAAUUACUGUUUCAACAAAGCUAACAUGAUAGCAUCUGUAGCCAGUUCAGGGCACAUUGCAGGAGCCAAUAUGGUAUUGAGUGGGUCACAUCAUGUCCACUAAAGCCACUAUGCAGCAGAUAUAAUGCAACAAAACAAGCUACUCAUUAACCUCAAGUUGAUUAUAGCUCACAAGAAUAUGAUUUUAUAAAGGAACCUACCAGACCAACACUAGAAAAUAGAUCACGCAUGGCAGGUGAGUUAUGAGCAAUCAUAUAGCACUUCUUUGAAUUGUCGAAGAAUUUGAACAGCAAUAACAUGCAAAUUGCCAAAUUACCCACUAUUACAUAUUCCUCUGAGGUGUAACUCUAGUCAGUAGACUUUCAUACUAAAGAUGUUUGGGCGAGGGGCACUUGCGGCCAAAUUUAUGCACUUUGAUAUGAGUUUGCAUCCAGACUUUUCCAAAGCAUGCAAAAGACCAUGUAAUCAUCCAUGAAAUUUCCAUUGAUCUUCUGAAUAGUAAAGAGAGUUCACUGCUGUGAAUUGUAGGGGCAUAUGACCCUUGCUAAUUGAUUCCAUGUUCAUUAACGUGUUGACCUUGUCAUGGUGCGAAAGGAUGAGUUUAUUGGUAACAAAGAGUACAGAGGAAAAAGACUUUACCCGCAACAAUUUGCCAAGCCAAAAGAAAGAAACAGGCAAACCGAUAAAACCCCUCAACUUAACAAGAUCAUAUGUUCACAAUUAAGCUUUAGUACUACUAUAUACUAACAUAUCCUCAUCCAGGUUAGCAAAUCUGAUCCCAAGAGAAAACAACAACCAUUAAAACUGACACUUAAAUCGUUUUAGAGAGUAUGAUUUAUUAGCAACCCGACUGAUAACAAGAGCAGCAUUUUUUCACACUCGAAGCAACAAUAUUGACAAAGAGGAAACAAGAUUACUCAACUGUAAAGCGAGCAAAUGAAGACCUAGUUUGCACAAGCACUAUAUAUGCUGAUUGCAGUACAGUCUGGAAAGGAAACUGAUCUAGUGCGUAAUAGCACGUCAUCAUGACAUUGUGCGAGUAUGUGAAAAACAAAACAUAUUUUUAGUGAGAAUAGCAUAACACCAUUUUGAGUGACAAUAAGUUCAAUGCAUCAUGUGAAUUUACAAGCCAUAUUACAUCGUGAGAUGCGAUAUCAGGCUACUGAAAUGAACAACUUAUCUUCUACCAUUUGUUUUUAUAUUUAUACAUCUAGAUCUCUAAUCAAAUAUUUAACUGAUUUGUACACAAAGCCAGACAAAAUUAUGCCUAGACCUAAAGACGUAGAACCUAUUAGGGUCGUUUCAAAUCACAGGAGAAAGAAACAUAGUGUGCUCCAAACUGAUAAAAGAUAUCUACGCUUGUACGAUAAAUUGCUCAUUUCUCGCAAGAAAUCGAACUGUUGAUAUAUCGUGCUGACGCAAUUUCUCCCUGACCAUCUAUAUAUUUGUCAACGUCCCGG
rnacentral:lncRNA from 1 species